ACCUUGAAGAUCUAUCUUUGGCUGGACUUAGAAAACAGUUACCUUCUAAGUCUUGGUUCUCAUACUUUUCUUCAUGGAUCUCACCAAAAAGUAGUGUGGGUUCUUCUUCUUUACUGCUACCAGCAACGUUCUCUCAGUUAAGCUCAUUAAGAGAGCUUAAUCUUUGUGACCUCAACUUGUCUGACCAUGAAAUUUCCAUUGACUUUGGGAGUUUCCAUUUUUUGAGGAGUUUGGAUUUACGGGGAAACAACUUCUGUAACUUACCCGCAGGAAUCAGCAACCAUCCAAGGAUAGGGAGACUUGUAUUGAAUAACUGCAAAAACCUUCGAUCCCUUGCAGAGCUUCCUAAAAAUUUAUGGACUUUAGAAUCAAAGCUUGGCACAUCAAUUGAGAGAUACCCAAACUUAUCAAACAUAGGUAAAAAUCUUUAUAAAAUCGCAAAUAGUAAUUGUCGCGAAGUAGCUGACAUUCAAGGUUGGGAUUUUCGCUCAUUUCAUCAAUUUUCUUUUAGUUGGAAUCUUGGACCAGAUCUUUACCAGCCAAAGGUUUUUCUCUAUCUCUCUCUGUAUACAUAUAAUAUAUAUUAUCAUGCAUGAUAAUGUUCAUAACUAUUAGUAUUUCUUUGAAACAGAAGUGGUUGUAUUCCAAGUUGAAGUUUUUGGAAGGUUACUUCCCGGUUAGAGAGGUGCCAGAUUGGUUCGACUAUAAAGAAAUUGGAUCUUCAAUACCGUUUUGUAUGCCUUCAAUCCCGAUUGGUUCAGAUCGAGGUAUGAUUGUGUGCGCAAUCUAUUCGGUCAAUGAAGAAUGUAAUGACGAAAGCACUUCUGAAGUUUCUCUUACCAUAUAUUUUAAGAAUAAAACAAAGGGCUGUGAGACUUUUGUUAGGUCACAUAGUUCCCUCGAUGGGAAUAUAUGUCAAGAUCAUGCGUGGGUGAGUUACAUGGCACCUAGUUUUUUUAUCGAUGAUGAAAACAAUUUUAUCUAUGUUGUAAACGCUGAAGAAGGAGAUGAAAUUGAAGUUUCAAUUGAGCCGCAAGGUGGAAUUUUUGUGAAGAAAUUUGGUGUUCAUCUGCGAAUUCAUGGGUAGAUGGGGUUAAGUUUUAAGAGCCUUCAUUGUUAAGACCAUUAUUAAUUUAAUUAGUUGUCAAUAUCAUAAUAGAGAAAUGAUGUGACCUGUUUCGUUUCGCAAAUUAAGCACACUUGGGUUAGUUUUGCUUUUCAUUUUGUCGUUUAUGCUUCGGCUUCUGAUUCUACAUUUGUGUUCUCAUUAGCUUUCAAUUCAACAGCUCCCAUCUGUUUUCCUACACGUGGAGGUACAAAGAAAGAAAGAGAUUUGGAUCUUGAAUCUUAAUUUUUUAAAUGAAUUGCUAGGUUUUUUUAACUCAAAUUUAUUUCAGUAAAGUUGUUUAGUAACAUUUCUAUUUUGUUAAAUUCAUUUAAGGUUUUUUUUUAUUGUCUAUAAAUAUAUGAUUAUGUUUAUAAAGUUAAGAAUAUUGUUUCGUGAGAUACUGAUAAGCUAUUAUUAUACAUAAAAUCAUGUUUAUUGACAUAUUUUUCUGUUAAAAAGUUAGCUACUAUCUACUAAUUUAUCAUUUUUAAAAUGAUUAUCAAAUACAAUAUAAAUAAAAUAAAUUAAUUUCAAAAGGUAAUAAUUGAUGCAACAACAUAAUUAUAUGCACCUCAUAUGAAAUUAAGAAUAUAUAAAACAAAAAAAUCUGCUUAAUUUUUCUCCAUGAAAAAAUAUAAUUAUAUGUUUUUAUUUAGUUAUUGAUUUUUUUUUGGCAUUAAAUUCAGAAUUUAAAUCUUUGCAAAUGAGUAUAAAAUUUUCUUUAUAGCAUGAUUUUAGACAAUUGCAAUAUUCAUCACUACCCAAUAUGCAUGGUACCUUUUACUUGAAAUAUUCAAACUUGCCACUGACAAUCAUUGACCGUAUUAUUACCACAAACAAUCUCUUCCAUGUAGCAAUAAUUUUGUGGUUUCUAUAGUUUCAUAUAAUAAAUUUUUUAAUUUAAAAUUUUAAGUUUUGAUUAAAAAAAAUAUGAAAUAUGCACUAAUAAAGUCCACAAUUAUAUAGUAAAAAAUUAAAGAAUUUUGAAAUAUUGCUUGUAAAAAAAGUAUAAAAAACUAAUUUUAAGUGAAAGAAAUUUCAAUUAUUUGGAUUCAAGCAAUAUUUUAAUUUUUAUAAAUAUCACUAUUAAAUGAGAAAUGAUAAAAAAAGUCUUUAUUUAAACUUUUUUUAUAAAGAAUCAAAAUAGAAAAUCAAACUUAUUUGUAUUGUCUGCUUCUGAACCUUAUGCAUAGAAGACUAACCGAAACAAUAAUGCAGCUAUUUGGCAUGCAAGAUUAGGCCAUGUUGGAUAUCAGUAAUAGAAGGAAAUCGCGUCCAAGCAGAUGGUUGAUGGCGUUCCUAUUCUGAAAAGCAUACCUCUAGACUUAGUUUGCCAAGGAUGUCAAUUUUGCAAAUCUCAACGCUUGUCUUUCAAUACAUCGCAAAAUCAAAGAUCAAAAUCUUUUGAUUUGAUUCAUUGGACUUGAUAGGACCAACCAAAACAUCAAGUUACAGCAAUUAUCACUACAUGAUGAUUUUUGUUGAUUAUUUUUCCAGGUUUGCUUGGGUGUAUUUUCUGAAGCAGAUGAUGAGGCUUUCGACAAGUUUCUUGGGUUCAAGAAGCAAGUUGAGAAGGAACUUGAUGUUCAGAGCAAGUGCCUAGGAACAAACAAUGGGCUUGAGUACACGGAAACAGACUUUCUUAAGUUUUGUGGAGAGAAUGGGAUUCAAAAGUAAAUAACAUGUUGAAAGACUCCUCAACAAAAUGGAGUUGCUGAAAGAAAACUUGCACAUCUCUCAAAGCAAGUUUGUUAUGGAUACAUAACAAGAAUCUCCCUCGAAAAUUGUGGGUUAAAGCUAGCAGUUGCUCAUGUCAUGUAGUGAACUAUUUACCUCCGAGGCAACGCAACCAAUCUCCCUUUCAGCUUUUAUACGAUAAGAAGCCAAAUGUGAGUUACUUGCGAGUUUUGGGUUCAGUUUGUUAUGCUUUUGUUUCAAAAAGUGACAGAACAAAACUAGAUCCAAAUGCAAAAAGGCGUGUUUCUGCCAGUUAUGAUCAGCAUCAGAAGGAUUGGAGGUGCAUGAUCUAGAAACCAAGAAGUUCACUACCUCUCGAAAUGUGGUAUUUGAUGAUGUUUCACUUUCCUGUAAAACCUUAGAAAAGAUUGAGUCAAACAUCAAAGUUAAUGAAUUUGCAAAGUUUAAACCAAGCCUACAUGACGACUUUUUCAAUCAUGAAGAAUUCUAAGAGUCUAGAGAAAGGGGGAGCAGCAAAGAAAAAGGCUGCAACAACAAAUUUGAAAGUCAACAAUAGGAACAAGAAAGAGAUGAUCAGAUUACGGUCUAGCCGAGAAAGAAAGCAACCAGCUUGGCAAAAAGACUAUAAAGUCCAAGCAAAUAGGCCCACUAUAACUCAAUGCUGUUUUAUAGGUCCAAUUGACUCUCGUGAACCUUCAUGCUUUGAAAAGGCUGGAAGGCACCUAAGAUGGGAAGUAGCAAUGCGAGAGAAAAUUUCAGCACUCAUAAAGAAUAAUACAUGGGAGAUUGUGCCAAAGCCCAAUGAGGCAAUGACAUUGAACCAGUAACAUGCAAAUGGGUUUACAAGUUUAAGACAAAGGUGGAAGGAUCAGUGGAUCGAUACAAAGCACUGUUGGUUCCUCGAGAUUUCUCUCAACAUUAUGGACAGGAUUAUAAAGAGACAUUUAGCUCAGUUGCCAAGAUGACAACCGUCAGAUCUCUCAUCUCUUUGGCUGCCCAUAAGGGGUGGAAUUUCUGGCAAACAUCAAAAAUGCAUUUCUUUAUAGAGAAUUAGAUAGAGAAGCGUUUAUGAAUCAAACGCACGGUUUUGUCUCUAAGGAAUUUCCUCACUAUGUUUUCCAGCUUAAGAAAGGUUUAUAUGGCCUACGUAUGGAAAAAUCUCUGAAUACUUAAUCCUUUGUGGGUUCGAAGUUCUUGGCUCUGACUCAAGUAUAUUUGUCAAGAAAAAUUUUGAGAUGCAUUUGUUGUUUCUUUUAUAUGUUGAUGACAUGAUUAUUCCAGGAGAUAAUUAUGUUAAAAUCAAUACUUUAUGUGAUGAAUUGGCGAUUCGAUUUGAGAUGAAGAAUCUGGGAAAAGCUGGAUGUUUUCUUGGAUUGGAGGUUGAGGAAUUGGAAAGUGGUUUAUUCUAUAUGUUUAAAACUUACUGGAACAUGUUUCAAUGGGAGAUGCAAAGCCAAAAGGGACUCCCAUGCAACCGCAAAUCAAGUUAAAAAGGGAUGAAGCAAGAUCAAUAGUAGGCAUGCACAAGUUUCGCCAACUUGUUGGUAGUUUGAUUUAUCUGAAUAUAACAAUACCCGAUUUGUCUUUCUUUGUAGCUCUUAUCUCUUAGUUCAUGGAAUGUCCUCUCAAGUCUCUCUUAUUCAUACCGGAAAAAGAAUUUUAAGAUAUGUAAAGAGUAUUGAGGAUCACUACAACUCUGAUACCAUUUGUUAGGCAAAAAAAUCACAAUCCAAUCAAGCCAACAGAAGUAAAAUCAAACAAUCAAUCAAUCACAUAAGAGACAAAAAUUUAAUGUGGUUUAGUCCAACCGACCUUCAUCCACGGAUGAGAAGUAAGAUCCACUAGCUAUAGAGAAUUAUAAAUAUAUAUCAAAUCAAAUCAAUCUCACUCAACAAUCAAAACCUAUAGACUCUUUUAAUCUCUUUUGGUCUAACGGAGUAUUUUCAACUCAAAUAAACACAAAUCCAUGUGCACCUUUUCAACGCAAACAAACAUAUACCUAUAUGUACCCAUUAAUCAUACCUAUGUGAACCAUCUCAAUCUCUUCUAGUCCACUCUCAAACAAUCAAACAUACUCAGCCAUAAGAUGUAAAUCCCCGGUACUCCUAUGAGGUGUCUAUACUACAAAACCUUACAACUCUCUUACGUCUUUUUCUCAUACCUAACCCUAUAAAAACUUUACAUAUUUAUAACCAUACAAACUUGCCUAUUAAGAAUCCAUUUCCUUUUAGAAUUCUUAUUCUGUAAGUUUUCUUGUCCAUCAAAUAAUAUCUAACAAAUUUCAAACAAAUCUCUUAUGGGAUUUAGGUCACUAUUUCCUAACAAAUAGCACUCUUGAGUUUGGAAUGCUAUACAAGAAGAAUGGAAACUUUUUAUUAAGUGACUUUGUGGAUUCUAAUUGGGCAAGUAAUGUCGAAGAUAGAAGAUCAAAAACUGGCUACUGUUUUAAUAUGGGAUCGGCUGCAAUUUCAUGGUGUAGCAAGAAGCAAGCAAACGUUGCUUUGUCUAGUACCAAAGCAGGAUGGUGCUGCAACAAUGGCUGCACAAGAAGGAGCUUGGUUGAAAUAGUUAAUAACUAACAUCUACAAGAAAGUGGAGUAUCCCAUUACUUUGAGCUGUGACAAUCAAAGCGCAAUCAAGUUAGCAUCAAAUCCAAUAUUUCAUGCUCAAACAAAGCACAUAAAGGUUCAACACCAUUUCAUUCAAGAGACAAUUAUUGGAGAAGAGUUUAAGUUAAAGAAAAAUUAGAAAAAGUGAUCAAGUUGCUGAUGUCUUCACCAAAGCACUCACAAAGCCGAAGUUAGAGCUCUUUCGUGAAGCGAAAGCAUGCACUAAGGGGGAGUGUUAAAGUUUAGUGCAUAUUGUGUCAUUUUUAAUUAUACUUAGAUUAAUGCAUUUGUUUUGGUAGAGUUCAUUUAGAUUUAGUAAAGUCAAGGUUGUUAAAGACCCUUUUAGAAGGACAUCAUGGCCCACUUAAGAGUAGAUUUCUUAAGAGUAGCUAACAUUUCUCAAAUUCUACAUAUUUAUAGACUUUCAUGAAUCGAUUUUUUCAAAGCUAUCCACUUCAUGAGGACGUCAAGGAUUUUGAUUCUGUGCUUAGUAUAACAAAUUGGGUUUUGAUCAAAAGAAAAAAAAUAUAUAUAUAGAAUCGUAGAAGGGACGAAAAGUUCUUUUAUCCAUUCUUAUUGUCUUUUUGAGUGACAAGGAAAUAAUAUCAUUAAAUGCUAUUCUACCUUAUUUAUUUGAACUAUUUUCUAUUGUCCCUUUCUUGUAUUGUAAGGUUUGGAUUUUAAUGUCAUAAUUAACUAAAAUCAGCAGAAUAUUAUAAUCUAAAUCAAGGGAGUAUGGCAUUAUCAACUGUUGAGGUAAAACUAUUCUUAAAAAAAAUUCAUAGAUUUAAAUAUAAUAAAAAAUAAUAUCUUUUUUUUUGUAUUUUUAAAAACCAAAAUUUUCAUGUUUCAAAAGUAAAAAAAAAAAAAAGAGAUUAAUGGAAUAACACAUAUCUCUUAAGCCUUAAGGUAUAAUAAAAAAUAUUAAAAAAAACAGGUAAUAGUCUUUUUAAUCUAGCUUGUAAAAUUAAAAAUUAUACCAUCAAAAACGAACUCUUAUUCUUAGGUGAUUAGAACUUUGAUCUUGUAGGAUUGUUACUUCUUUGAUUAGAGUGAAAUAUUCUCUCAUUCUCUCUAUUCGUGGAUAUAGACUUUUGUUUAUGAAUAGCACUUUCUUUUAUGUGCUUGAUAUCUUUACUUUGAAUUUAAUUAGUUGCAUUAUGUUGAUCUGUUUAGACGCCAACAUUUCAACAAGUGCAAAAAUACAAUAGGUCAUCUUCAAAUGAGUAUAAAUGGAAUUUGUUGUUUUAUAUGCAUUAGUUGUCAAUGGAUUCUAAAUUUAACUAGGUAAAAAAUAAUUAAAAGGAAAAAUAUGAGAAGAUUGGAUUAAAAAUCUUGGUAGAGUUGCAGAGCUUCCCUCUGAUUCGAGCCCUAUUCCUGCUUACUACAUCCCAUGCUUUGAAUAAAAUUCUCAUUUAAGAUAAAAAGAUUCUUGCUAGUGAAGUAUAGGACUUUUAGUUUCACUGAGCAUAAAUCAAAUCCUGAGAGCCUCGUUUGCAAAAAUAAAUAAAUAACAACUUGGUUUUGUUUGACAAUAUUCUCAAAUUGCCUGUUAUCAGCAUGGUCCUAUAUCAGUUGAAAUUGUAUCUCAAAUUUUAUAUCAGCCUCAUUUGGCUUGAAAGUUUAUUUGAUUAGCUAUUGACAUAGUUUCUAAUUUUUAAUUAUGAACGAUAAAAUCGAAUAAUUAACCUGUAGACUCAAUUAUAAAAAAUCUUAAAGCUGUUUUCAAUUUUAACGCUCCAAUGAAUUUCUUUGAUCUAUCCUAUUCAUUUGGUGAUUUUGGGAUAACAUUUUCUAGGAAACUUUCGUAGAAAGAGUAACAAUCCAAAAAUAAAAUAUAAUAGUAAAUUACAAUAGUGAAUAAUUUUUUCUUUAUUUAUGUUCAAAAUAAAAAAAAAUAACAACUUGUUUUUUUUUUUAUAUUAUUCUCACAUUACUUCUUAUCAGGCUGAUCCUAUAUUAGUUGAAAUUGAAUCUCAAAUUUGAAAUCCGUCUCAUAUGGCAUAAAAAUUUAUUUGUAGUUGUGAACGAUAGAAUCGAAUAAUUAUCCUAUAGAUUUCACUAUGUAAGAUCAUUACUCAAUUAAAAAGAUUUGAAAGUUGUUUUUAAUUUCCGUCUCUCAAAUGAAUUUCUUUGGUCUGUUUAAAUCAUAUGGUGAUUUUGUGAUAAAAUUUUUUUGGGGGAGCUUCGUAGAAAGAGUAACAAUCCAAAAAUAAAAUAUAAUAAACGAGAAUAGUGUAACAAUUAGGUUGCUUUUACUUUUUGUUGUGUGUGUGUGUGUUUUUUUUUCCAAAGAGAAUGAAAAUGAGACAACAAAUAACAAAUUUUGAAUAGAAAACAAAUAACAAAAAGCAAAAUCGUUUGAUAAAUGAAGCUUAAUUUUUUCACAAUGAUUUCACCAUAUAAUACAGACACUAUAAAGCAUAGAUUUAUAGUUCGAAUGUCCAAAGUUGCUAAGAACUUUGAUAAUUUUGUCAUCUCAACAAACAAGUUUGUUCCUAAAUAAUAGUACAAACAUGAGUCCAUAAGGUGUGUAAAAAACUUUUUCAUCAUUUAAUUUUUAAAUAGAUGUAUCACAAUCAUAUAAAUCCAUUUGAUAAGUUUAAAAAAACUUUAAUAUAGUCUAUAUAUAGAAAAAUAAUUCUGAAAAAUUAAUAAAAAUUUGAUUGAUCAAAUACAACAUUAGGAUUGAUAAAAAUGUAUUUACGGAAAAAAACUAUCCUAUACGCAUUGCAGUUUUUAGAUUUCGUAAAUGAGAAUAAAAGAUUGAAAAGUGUCUCAUUAGAGUAUUUAUAUCAAUGUUUUGACCUAUUUCUGAAGUUGAAAUUUUUUUUCUAGCGAUAGCAAUGUAUAGAAUAAUUUUUAUAUAUGAUCAUGGAUAUUGGUGAAACUUUUUAUGUACUAAAAUAAAAAUUAUAUUUACAAUAUUUUAAAUAUUUCUUCUUCUAAAUAUUAAUGAGAUUUUAAUUUGUAAACAAGAGUUAUUGUUUUCAUAAAAUUUUAUUAUUAAAUGAAUUUAUUUGACAAAUAAAUAGUUAAUGUUAAUAUGAAAUUUCUUUAUCCUUAUAGUUCCAAAUAUACAUUAACGUUAAUUUAAUAUAUUUUGUACAUAAAACAAACUUCACAUAUUAAAAGGCAUUUGAUGAAUUUUAACUAUUUAUACAAUAGGCAAUUACAUGUUCAACAUAUAACAAUUAUUUAAAAAUAAAAUAAUAUAAAUAUUCAAAUUUAAUGAAUGUAACAAAAAUACUAAUGACGGAAAAAAAAACCAAAAUAAAAGAAAAACGUGUCUUUGGAGCUAAAUUCUAAUAUAAAUUAUUCUUGCUAUCAUAUUUACAGUAGAGAUGCAUGGAAUCUAUAUUUUUAUAUAUAUUGUGAAUGCAUUUGGAUCACUUUAUUAUAUAUAUAUAUAUAUAAUUAUUUAAGUUAAUUUGAAUAGUAAGGAUUAGUAAUGACCCUUAUAUUGUAAUUAUGUACUAAGUUUCCAAAAAAAGUUUUCUCCAGUGCAUUUUUUUGUUUGACUUUCCAUGGCUGCCAAAGGUUUCUCUGAAGCAUCUUCACCUCGCUUUAAAUGGAACCAUGAUGUCUUUUUAAGUUUUAAAGGCGAAGACACUCGGAAGAACUUCACAGAUCAUCUCUACACAGCUUUGGUGAGAGAUGGGGUGAUUACCUUCAGAGAUGACGAUGAACUUCCCAGGGGAAAAGACAUCUCCUCGGAGCUCCUCAAAGCAAUCGAAGAAUCACAACUUUCUAUCGUGGUUUUCUCUAAAAACUAUGCUUCUUCCAGGUGGUGUCUUGAUGAGCUUGUCAAGAUUAUUGAGUGCAAAAACACAACAGGCCAGGUUGUUAUUCCAGUCUUCUACGAUGUUGAUCCGUCUGAUGUCCGGAAACAGAUGGGAAGUUAUGAAGAAGCUUUUGCUCAACACGAAGAACGGUUUAAAGAUAAGAUGGAAAGGAUUAAAAAGUGGAGAAAAGCUCUAACAGAAGCCGGAAAUUUAUCCGGCUGGGACCUUCGAAACAUGACAAAUGGGUAAUAUUUAAUUUUUAAGAUGAAUCAUCCAAAAAAUUCUAAAAUAUAUAUGUAUAUGUACAUCUUCGUUUUUAAAUAAAAAAAUUAAAUGAAACUAAUUUUAAUUGCUAGUUAGUGCUAUUAAAAUUAUUAUAUGCGCCUAAUUUUAAAUUAUUGUAGUCCAUUUAUAUCUUAGUAUAAAUUGUUUUUUAUGUUUGAUGAUUUAAACCUUAAAAUUAAGAGUAGAAAUUCUACACAAUCUAUAUAUACUUGAAAAAUGUCUAAUUUAUUUUUGUUGUAGAGUUGUUUGUUUGAAGUGUAUAAUGACAAUAUAUCAUAUAUAAUUAUUGUAAUAUAAUUAAUCAAUUAUAAUUUAGUUUUAGUAUUAUGAAGUGUCCAUCAAAAAAUUAUUUAAACCUCAUUUUAAGUGAUGAACUCUUAGAUAAUUUUUUAUUAUAAUUAAUUAAUUGUAAUAUUGUAAUAAAGAGAAUUAUAAAAAUUAAAUAAUCAAAAGUGGGUGUUUAUUGAUAAUCGAAUUUUCUUGUGCUCUUCUUCUGUUGUUUCAUCCCAAAUAAUUUCACAGGUAUGAAUCGAGAUUCAUCCAAAAGAUUGUCAAUGAUGUUAUCAGAAAAUUAAAACGCAAUGACUUGCACGUCGCCACUCACCCAGUAGCUCUAGAAUCACGUGUUGAAUGGGUGAUGAGAUUAUUAGAUAUUGGAUCUGAAGAAGUUUGGGUAGUGGGCAUCUAUGGAAUGAGUGGGAUAGGUAAGACCACCAUCGCAAAAGCUGUCUACAACCUAAUGGUCUGUGAAGGAUUUGAAGGAUGCAGUUUCCUUUCAAAUAUUAAAGAUGACUCGCAGCAACCUAAUGGUCUUGCUAGGAUGCAAGAGAAGCUCCUUUCUGAUAUCUUGAAUGGGCAAAAAUUCAAGAUAGAUAAUAUUGACAGGGGUGUCAAUUUAAUCAAGGAGAGGCUUUGUUGUUUUUAUAGUUCUUGAUGACUUGGAUGAGUCAGUGCAAUGGAGACCAUUAGUUGGUGAUCGGAAGUGGUUCGGUCGAGGAAGUAGGAUUCUCGUCACAACUAGAGAUGAACGUUUGCUGACUGAAUUAGAGGUGGAUAAAAGUUAUAAGGUUGAACAAUUGAAUCAUGAGGAGUCAAUUCAGCUUUUAAGUUGGUAUGCAUUUAGGAGGCCUGCUCCAGAAAAUGAUUACUUCGAACUUUCCAACAGUUUGGUGGAGCAUGCUCAAGGACUCCCCUUAGCUCUUGAAAUUUUUGGUUCUUCUUUGUUUAAAAGAAGCCUACCAGAAUGGGAAAGUUUUGUGGAAAAAUUACAAAAGGCACCUCACCAACAAAUUCAAAAGAAGCUUAGGAUAAGCUUUGACACACUAGAUGAUGAUUUAUGGAAAGCCACAUUUCUUGAUAUUGCAUGUUUUUAUGUUGGGAUGAAUAAAGAUUAUGUGAUGACAAUACUAGAUGGUUGUGGAUUCUUUCCAAAAAUUGGUAUUAAAGUUCUUCUUGAAAGGUCUCUUUUAGCAGUUGACCCACAGGAUCAAAAGCUGCAAAUGCAUAACCUACUACGAGACAUGGGAAGAAGGAUUGUUCAUGAAGAAUCACCAUCUCACCCUGGAUAUCGAAGUAGGCUUUGGUUUCAUCGGGAUGUUGUAGAUGUAUUAACGAAACACAUGGUAAAAAGUUAAAUGCGCUUUUUAAAUAGAUCUAAAAAUGCACUAAAUGCUAUACUUAACUAGAAUUAAUAAUAGUUUUUCUUUGUAUUUAGGGGAUGGAAGCUGUGGAAGGUCUCAGCUUAGAUGUACCAACACUAGAAGAUGACCUGCCAAGCACCGAAGCAUUUGCAAAGAUGAUCAACUUAAGAUUGCUGAAAAUCGAUUCUGUACAUUUCACUGGUUCCUAUGAAAAAUUUUCUAGAAAAUUAAGAUGGCUCUGGUGGCAUCGAUGUCCACUAAUGGUUUUACCGCCCAACCUUCAUCUAGACAACUUGGUUGUUCUUGAAAUGCAACACAGUAGUAUCAAAAAAGUUUGGAAGGAGACAAAAGUAAUAAUAUCACUCGCAAUGCUAUGUGUUUUCUUUUUAUUUUGAUAUUUUAGAUUUUUUUUCUUAGCGCAUAUUAUGGAUUUUUUGUUAUCUUCUUUUUCUUGUUUCAACAGGCUCUUCACAAGCUUAAAAUACUAGAUCUGAGUUAUUCGGUAUACCUUGGAGAGACACCAAACUUUGCAAGACUCUCAAGCCUACAAAGACUUGAACUUGAAGGUUGCACAGGUUUAGUUGGGGUUGAUCAAUCUAUCGGACAUCUGGAAAAACUUGAAUUCUUGAAUUUGGCAGAGUGCAAGAACAUAAGUGAACUUCCAGACAGCAUUUGCAACUCAGGGUCUCUUGAGACAAUGAACCUCAAUGGCUGCUCAAAACUUUGUAGUUUGCCAGAGCAUUUGGGCAAAUUGGAAGCUUUGAGAAAGCUUGUUUUAAGUGGAUCUGCUAUUACACAGUUGCCUACUUCGAUCGGACUUUUGAAGAACCUUGAAGAUCUAUCUUUGGCUGGACUUAGAAAAGAGUUAGCUUCUAAGUCUUGGUUCUCAUACUUUUCCUCAUGGAUCUCACCAAAAAGUAGUGUGGGUUCUUCUUCUUUACUGCGACCAGCAACGUUCUCUCAGUUAAGCUCAUUAAGAGAGCUUAAUCUUUGUGACCUCAACUUGUCUGACCAUGAAAUUUCCAUUGACUUUGGGAGCUUCCAUUUUUUGAGGAGUUUGAAAUUAGGGGGAAACAACUUCUGUAACCUACCCGCAGGAAUCAGCAACCAUCCAAGGUUAGAGAGCCUUGUAUUGAAUAACUGCAAAAACCUUAGAUCCAUUACAGAGCUUCCUAAAAAUUUAUGGAUCUUAGAAGCAAAGCAAUGCACAUCAAUUGAGAGAUACCCAAACUUAUCAAACAUAGGUGAUCGUUUUGAUAGUAUCUGAAUUAGUAAUUGUUGCAAAGUAGUUGACAUUCGACGGUGGGAGUUUUACCCAAUUCAUCGAUGUUGUUUUAAUUGGAUAGAACCAGAUCUUAAUAACCCAAAGGUCUUUCUCUAUCUCUCUGUACAUACAUAUAAUGUAUAUAAUCAUGCAUGAUAACGUUCAUAACUAGUAGUAUUUCUUUGAAACAGAAGUCGUUUACUUCCAAGUACAAGUGUUUGGAAGCUCACUUCCCAGCAAGAGAGGUGCCAGAUUGGUUCGACUAUAAAGAAAUUGGAUCUUCAAUACUGGUUUGUAUGCCUUCAAUCCCGAUUGGUUUAGAUCGAGGUAUGAUUGUGUGCGCAAUCUAUUCGGUCAAUGAAGAAUGUAAUGGCGAAAGCACUUCUGAAGUUUCUCUUACCAUAUAUUUUAAGAAUAAAACAAAGGGCUGUGAGGAUUUUGUUAGGUCACAUGGUUCCCUCGAUGGGAAUAUAUGUCAAGAUCAUGCGUGGGUGAGUUACGUGACACCUAAUUUUUUUAUUGAUGAUGAAAACAAUUUUAUCUACGCUGUAAACUUUGACGAAGGAGAUGAAAUUGACGUUUCAAUUGAGCCGCAUGGUGGAAUUUUUGUGAAGAAAUUUGGUAUUCAUCCGCAAAUUCAUGGGUAGAUGGGGUUAAGUUUUAAGAGCCUUCAUUGUUGAGACCAAUAUUAAUUUUAUUAGUUGUCAAUAUCAUAAUAGAGAAAUAUUUUCAGAAAUAAAUUACAUCUUAAAGAUUUAUUUGCAUGAUUACUAAGAAGUCAAUGAUUGAAUGAUAGUCUAAUUAUAUAUAUUGAAAAAAAUAUGUUAUAAAUAUUGAUAUUGAAAUUAUUGUACAAAUAUUUUUAAAAUAUGAAAUCAUGUUAAAAAUAAUUGUAAAAUUUUUAUCAAUUAUGAGUGAAUAUGAAAGUUUUAAUUUUUAUUAGCAUUAUCUUAUUCUUAUUUUAUUUUUAAUUUAAUAUAUUUAAAUUAAACUAGCAAAAUUUCUAACUAUAUGUUGCUAAUAACCAAUACUUUAUAAGCUAACCUCCUAGCCAAAAUCGAAUUAUUCCAAUAUUGAUGUAGAACAAAGAAGAUCGUUGAGCAAGAAGAGGAACAACCUAAAAGACAAAAGAUUGGAAAGUGCACAAAAGUAAAAGGAAGUGUGGCCUGUUUCGUUUCGUACAAAUUAAGCACACUUGGGUUAUUUUCCUUCUCAUUUUAUCGUUUAUGCUUCGGCUUCUGAUUCUACAUUUGUGUUCUCCUUAGCUUCCAAUUCAACGUCGCCCAUCUGUUUACCUACAUAUGGAAGUACAAAGAAAGAAUGAGAUUUGGAUCUUGAAUCUUAAUUUUUUAAGUGAAUUGUUAGGUUUUUUUAACUCAAAUUUAUUUCAGUAAAGUUGUUUGGUAACAUUUUUAUUUUGAUAAAUUCGUUUAAGGUUUUUUUUUUAUUGUCUGUAAAUAUGUGAUUAUGUUUAAGGUUAAGAGUAUUGCUAUUAUUAUACAAGAAAUCAUGUUUAUUGACAUAUUUUUCUAUUAAAAAAUCAACCACUAUCUAUUAAUUUAUCAUUUUUAAAAUGAUUACCAAAUACAUUAUAAAUCAAAUAAAAUUAAUUUAAAAAGAUAAUAAUUGAUGCAACAAUAUAAUUAUAUGCACCCCAUAUGAAAUUGAAAAUAUAUAAAACCAAAAAAUAUGCUUAAUUUUUCUCCAUGAGUUAGAAUAAAAAUAUAUGUAAUUAUAUGUUUUUAUUUAGUAAUUGAUUUUCUUACAUUAAAAUCGGAAUUCAAAUCUUUGCAAAUGAGUAUAAAAUUUUCUUUAUAGCAUGAUUAUAGACAAUUGCAAUAUUCAUUACCACCUGAUAUGUAUGGCAUCUUUUAUUUGAAAUAUGGCUCUGCCUCUGCAUAGAUUAUAAUUCACCACAGUGUAGGAUAUUAUAUGUCUCUCACCUCAGACGGAUCUCUUUCAAACUGAAUAAAUGAAUUAUGAUGUCUAUUUCUUGCAUCAUCUAUCUUCUAUAACGAUAAACAAUGUGGUUCCAAUUGUAGCAUUAGCUAUUGAGACAGUAGAAUUUUUAUCGUACAGACAUAUUUUAACUGUUCCGCUUCCAUUAUUUUAACUAUUUCAAUCAGAUCUGGUCGUAUCUAUGCGGUUGACACACGAAGAAUCCCAAGGCUCCCCCCUUGCAUAAAGUGCUGCAGCCUGAGGAUAUUGUUAUGAAGACAGGCCUUGCUUAUCCCCACACAUCCCACUGCCUUGCCUCUGGAGAUAUAAUGGCAUCACGUGGAAAAGCUGAAGGAAAUGGAUUUCUUCUCCUUGAUUCUGAAUUUAAUGUGAAAGGAAGGUAAUGCCAAAAACCCAAAAAAAGAAAAGAAGGAAAAUGAUCGUGAAUAAUAGAAAUGAUUGCUAGCUGCGGUUUUUGGUGCAUGAUAUUGUGAUUGAACUUUGAAACAAUCGGAUUCAACCUCUUAGCUACUAUUGUGCUCUUCAGGUGGGAUAAACCAGGGCAUAAUCCUCUGUUUGGCUGUGACUUUUGGUACCAACCUCGACAUAAAACAAUGAUCAGCUCAUCAUGGGAUGCUCCUGCAGCCUUCACCAAAGGUGUCAACCUUCAGCCUGUCACAGAUGGUAUCUAUGGGAGACAUCUGUAUAUGUAUAGUUGGCCUGAUGGUGAAUUGAAACUACAUUGGAUCUCGGUGACACUGGUGUCAUACCAUUAGAGGUGUAUUACAUGUUAACAUUAUGAACAUGUUACAACUUUGUUUUUAAGACUAGAUUUUGCUCAAAGAUAAUAUGUAGUUCUGUUUCAUAUUCGUUGUUAUAAUGGUAAGGCCAGAUCCUGGAUUCACCGCAUAUAAUUUUGUCAUUUCUACGCAGAUAAGUUUCCUGCGUGAUCCCUCUAAAGAUACAGGGUAUGUUGGGUGUGCCUUGACGAGUAACAUGGUGCGGUUUUUCAAAACCCCAGAAGGAUCAUGGAGCCAUGAGGUGUGCGCAUAAAUAACUUUUGUUUUUGUAUGGUUAUUGUUAACGAUGUUUGGUAGUCUUUGCAUUCCACAAGCCUAAUAAUAUGAGUAUCCUUAUCAACUUCUACAGGCGGCAAUCUCAGUGAAACCAUUGGAGGUGCAAAACUGGAUUCUUCUUGAAAUGCCUGGACUUAUAACCCACUUUCUAAUCUCUCUUGAUGAUCGUUUUCUGUAUUUUGUCAACUGGCUUCAUGGAGAUGUCCGACAAUAUAAUGUUGAGGACCCUAAAUAUCCAGUAUUGGCUGGCCAAGUAUGGGUUAGAGGACUGAUUCAAAAAGGAAGCCCUGUACUGGCAGUGACAAAAGAUGGUAAAAGGUGGCAAUCCAAUGUUCCUGAGAUCCAGGUCGGUUCUCAUAUUCAUGUUACUUAUAAACUACAAGUUUGAGCAGUAGUUAAGAAAAAGGCAGAAUGACGUAUGGCCUCAUCAGCGCCACACCUGCUAAUUUUAAACACAACAUGAUGACAUUAAUUUUAAACACAACAUGAUGACACGAGAGAAGACACGAAUUGUUAGGUUUAAUCAGGGCAUAAUGAUAGGUUUUAUAUAUUCUUGACAUUGUUUUGAAGUUAUCAAACAAGAUUGUCUAUCCCUACAUUGAAUAAACAAAAACAAGAAAUAUGCCUGGAGAUGCAUGGAGGGGGGGGGUUCAUUCUGGUUCUUUUUGGCCUGAUUUGUAUGGCUACUCGACUUACCAUUUGAUGCUCAGGCUGCCUAGACAAACAGCCCGGUUUGACACUUGACAGGCUGUGUGUGCUUUUCUAAUUCUUAGGAAUGGUAUCACAUAGGCAAAUUAAUUCAGUACAAAAAACCCUUCUUUUUAACUUAAUUGUUAGUUGGUAAAAUUCUUAUCUUCUUUAUAGGGACAUCGUCUGAGAGGGGGACCCCAGAUGAUCCAGUUGAGCUUAGAUGGGAUGCGGCUAUAUCUAACCAACUCACUGUUCAGCAAAUGGAAUCGCCAAUUCUAUCCUGAACUCGUGGAGAAGGGUUCCCACAUGUUACAGAUUGAUGUUUACACUGAGAAAGGUGGUCUUAAAAUAAACCCGAACUUUUUUGUUGACUUUGGUGCUGAACCUGAUGGCCCUUCUCUGGCUCAUGAGAUGAGAAAUCCAGGUGGUGACUGCACUUCAGAUAUUUGGAUUUAAGCACCCUGAACCAAUUUAGCAGUGAAGAAUCAUGCUUUAUUGUAGUAGGAAAAAAAAUCAAUGCAAUUCCAAUUACAAUGUGUUGAGGCAGGAUCAUCUGGAAAGAUAUAACGUAUGUAUUCAUAAACUGUAGAUCAGCACAUCUAUGUAAAAUUAUAAACAGCUGAAAGUAGUCAAAAAAGAGUCCAUAUUGCAUUAAUGUAUGAUGUAAUUCUCUUUUUUAGCUUUUAGGUAUUGGAAGUGUUAGGAAAGUGGGGUCCAGCCCUAUAUAAUUGGGUUUGGACUAAUCAAAGGCCAUAGGCUUUGGUCUUUUUUUUUACACAAAGCCCUAGCUACUUAAUAAAAAUAAGAGACGCUGUUUUAAGGUGAAAAAAAAGAAGGUGGUGUCGAAAAACUAAAAAAAGAAAAGAGAAAAAAGAAGCCAAGAAAAUAGAAAGAAAUGGAAGAAGGGAGAGUUGGUUGAAUGAAAAUCUAUCUGUAGUCCGAUUGAGUUAAAAUUUUGUUAACGUGUUUAUGAUUCAAAGUUCUACAUUUUAAACAAUGAAGACUGGGUUUGAAGCUCUUUAGAAAUAAAUUCAAGGUAUAUUUGUUGAGUCACCUAUUUGGUGAGAUUUCUUCAAUUUUCUUUUUAAUUGUUGAUUAGCUUUAGUUUUAGUUAGAGAAGAAUUUUGUACAUGUAUUAUUUAAUAGUGGAGUUUUUUUUUCUAGUGGUCCAUGGUUUUUCCCUCCACAUUUGAGGGUUUGUCACGUAAAUCUUGGUGUGCUUUAUUUUUCCUGUAUUGUUAAUUAUUGAUUUUUGUCUAUUACUGUGGGUUUAUUGCGUUAUAUUGCUUCUGCCUUGUUAUGUUUAUUGCUUCAAGCCCAACAAAUGGUAUCAAAACCAGUUUUAAGGGAGCUAGCGAUGUGCCAUCGAGGACGGUGGGCCUACAUUGGAGUGGGAGAGAAUAUCACGAUCCUAGAAAGGAGCCAUGAAUCUUUCAUCAGUUGAGUACUAGAGUUGAUCUUGAGAUAUAAGGGUUCACACCACCCUCUUCUUAUGAGGCACCUCUUGUGGGACAAAAUCGUAAGGCCAAAGAAAGAUCGGAGCAGAUAAUACCUCACAAGGGUGUGGACCUUAGGCUGAUCUGAGACAUUGGAUUAGUGUAUGCCUAAGUCCUAGAGCCUCGCGGGCCUAGAGGUUGAGUCUUGGCCCAUGACAAGUGAUAUCAGAGCAAAGGUUAUUUUGAGACAUCAAUAUAAAAGUAGUCUAAGACAAAAGUAAAUUCUAUUUGAGAUCAUGAAGGGUGAUACACAUUCCAUGAUAAAAUUGACAACAUCAAAUUAUUCAAUUUGAAAGCCUAUAAUGAAAAUUUAUUUAUACUGCAAAAAUUUGUAUGAGUCGGUAUUAGUGAUUCGGCUAAACCAGCAGAAAUGAAAGAUGAAAGCUAAGAAAAGUUAGGUAAAAAAAUACUGGCUACAAUUAAAAAAUGGAUUGAUAUCAGCAUGUUCCAUAAUGUAGCAUAGGAGACAAAUGCCCAUACUAUUUGGAAAAAAUUGCCAGCAUUAUAUGAGAGAAAAAUAUAUAUGAAUAAAGUCAUACUUGUUAAAAAGCUUGCAACUUUAUAGUAUAGGGAUUGACGAUCAAUUAUAAAGCACUUGAGUGAUUUUCAAGAUGUAUUUAAUCGGAUGACUACUAUAGAGCUUAAGAUGGAUGAUGAAAUGAAGGCAUUGUUUCUUUUAGGUUCAUUGCCAGACAACUAGAAUACUCUUAUUGUGACUGUUCUUAAUUUAGUUCUUAAUUACAAAGGUGAACAUUAGAAGAUAGUAAAGCGAUAGUCAUGCUUCAAUGAAAGAAGUAAGGUGAAAAAGAUUUAAACAUAGGAAUUAAGCUCUUGGUCACCAACAAAUAAGGAUAAAACAUCCAACAAAGAUCAGAACUCAAAAGGCCAUAGUAAGUCUGACAUAGAUCCUAGUCCAUAGAUAAAGUGAAGUGUUUUCAUUAUGGUCAAGCAAAUCAUAUAUAAAUGAUACUACAAAAUCUUAAAACAAGAGUAGAAAGAUGAGAAAGGUAAGAGUUUAGAUGAUGGCAAUGUUACAGCAAUGAAUUCAGAUAGUGAUUCAAUUACUUUGAUUUGUACACAUGAUGAUUGUAAUCAUGUUGGUGAUCCUGAUAUUGAGUGGAUAGUUGACACAAUAGUGGUAUAUUAUUAUGUUCCUAAGUGGGAGUUGUUUAUAACUUACAAAGCAAAAGACUUUGGUUACACCAAGAUGAGAAAUAAGAGUGUGUUGUAGAUUGCUGAGAUUAGUCAUAUUAUUAUACAAAUUAGUAUGAGCUGCAUGUUGACUUUGAGAGAUGUUAGAUACAUUUCGAAUAAGCAAAUGAACUUACUUGCUAUUAAUGUCUUUGAUAAGGAAAGAUAUAAGAGUCAACAAAAGAAUGGAUAAUAAAAGCUUCUCAAAGGAUCUAUGGUAGUUGUAAGGGAAAACUAUGCUAUAGAAUGUACACAACAUUGAUGUAAUUGAAUGGCAACUAGAUAAAUGCCGUUAAGGAUGAUGCUUCAGCAAACUUGUGGCAUAAAAGGCUGAAACACAUGAGCUAAAAGGGGAUACAAGUUUUGGUAAGGCAGUUUCUCAUUCUUUUGACCAAAUGUACGUCUCUCGAUUCAUGUGAACGUUGUUUGUUUGGUAAGCAUCAUAGCGUUUCUUUUGGUAAGAGUUCUCAAAGAAAAGAAAAUAGAUUGGAAUUAAUUUAUUCUGAUGUAUGUGGUCCCAUUGAGGUUGAGUCAUUAGGUGGUAAUAGGUAUUUUGUUAUUUUUAUUAAUAAUGCUUCAUGUAAGAUUUGGCUGUAUAUGUUGAAAAAUAAAAGCCUAGUAUUAUAGUAUUUUCAAAAAUUUUAUACCAUGGUGAAAAAGAUGAUAGGCUACACUUGAAGUGUAUUUGGACUGAUAAUGAUAGGGAAUACACAUCCAAAAACUUUGAAGAGUACUGUUCAAAGCAUGGGAUCAGACAUAGAUAAUAGAACUUAGAACAUCGCAACAUAAUGGUGUAGCUGAAAGGAUGAACUGCACUAUUGUGGAAAAAGUCAGAUGCAUGUUAAGGAUAAAAAAAUUACUAAAGCCAUUUUAGGGUGAAACAGUCAACACAACUUGUUAUUUGCUUAACAAAUCACCAUCAAUUUUUUUAGGUUUUGACAUUUUAGAAAAAGUGUAGAUAAGGAAAAAUGCUUCAUACUUUCACUUGAAAGUUUUUGGGUGUAAAGUAUUCAUGCAUGUGUCAAAAGAGUAAAGGUUAAAGCUGGAUAGUAAUGCCACACAAUAUGUGUUUGUAGGACAUAGUGAUGAGAAAUUUGGCUAGAGGGUAUGGGAUCUAGUGAAGAGAAAUACAAUCAAAAGUAGAGAUGUGACCUUCCAUGAAAAAAAAUCAUAGUAGAUCUUGAAAAAAAUUAGAAGACUACAUAAGUUACUAUUAAGUAUGAUGUUUCAACACUAAUAAAAGUUAUACAAAAAAGAGCCACAGAAGGUGAAAAUGAGCAGAAAAUAAAACUUGAGGAUAUAAAUGAGCCAACUACAGUUAAUGAUGAGCCAAAUACAAUCAAUUUUAAGUAGGGUGAGUAGUUUUCUCAAUAAAAAAGUGUUGAUGAGGGAGAGCCACCUUUGACAUUACGUGGUGUAAAGUCUUAGCCUAGGAGAUCUACUAGAUAGCCUAAGCCAUCUACUAAGUAUCCAAGUUCAGAUUUUAUUUUAGUUACUAAUGAAAGAGAGCCAGAGAGUUUCCAAGAUGUGAUGCUAUUCCGAAUAAAGAGCACUAGUUAAAAGCAAUGAAAGAAAAGAUAGAGUUAUUGCCAAAAAAAUAGUACAUAUGAUCUUGUUAAACUUUCAAAAGAGAGAGGGCCGUUAAAAAAUAAAUGGGAUUUUAAGUUGAAAAAAGAUGGUGACAAGCUAGUGAAGUAACAAGCUCUAUUAAUGGUGAAAGGUUUUUCUUAGAAAUUAGGCAUCAAUUUUGAUAAGAUCUCCCUUUAGUUGCAAAAAUGAGUUCUAUUCAAGUGGUAUUGGGAUUAGUAGCUAGUUUGAAUCUUGAGCUUGAACAACUUGAUGUUAAAACUACUUUCUUACAUGGUGACUUGCAGAAAGAUAUUUAUAUGAAUCAGCCUGAAGGUUUUGAGGUGAAAGAGAAAGAGCACUUAGUUUGCAAAUUGAAAAAAAAUUUGUAUGGAUUGAAACAAGCUCUGUGACAAUGGUAUAAAAAGUUUGAUUCUUUUAUGAUGAGCCACAGCUAUAAAAAAAUGACAGUGGAUAAUUGUGUAUAUGUCAAAAAAAAUUUUGAUGGUAACUUCAUUAUUCUUUUAUUAUUUGUUGAUAAUAUGUUGAUUGUGAGAUAAGAAGCUGCUAUGAUUUACAGGUUGAAAAAACAAUUGUCUAAGUCUUUUAACAUGAAGGAUUUAGGUCAAGUAAAGUAGAUACUCGAUAUGGACAUUAUCCAAGAUAGGAGAGUUAGAAAGCUAUGGUUGUUAUAGAAAAAGUAUGUUGAAUGGGUGCUUAGUAGAUUCAACAUGCAACAUGCUAAAUUAGUUAACAGUCUACUUAUCAACCAUUUUCAUCUAAGUAACAAAUCUUGUCUGAUGACUAAAAAAGAGCAACUAGCUAUAUCUAGUAUUUCUUAUUCUUUUGCAAUCGGUUCUUUGAUGUAUCUUAUAGUUUACAUACAGCCUGACAUUGCUUAUGUAAUUAAUGUAGUAAGCAAAUUUCUUUCUAAUCUGAGAAAGGUUCAUCAAGAAGCAGUAAAAUGAAUUUUUAGAUAUUUAAGGGACACUUAAAAAAUGUGCUUGAGUUAUGGAGUUUAACAAUCAGUUCUAAAAGGGUUUACUGAUGUUGACAUAGCAGGUAAUCAUAAUGGUAAGAAAUCUACUUCAAGGUAUUUGUUCAUUUUUACAGGAAGAGCUAUAUUUUGGCAGUCUAAGUUAUAAAAGUGUAUUGCUUUAUCAUCUACAAAAGCAGAGUAUAUUUUAGCAAUCGAAGUAGGUAAAGAAAUGUUUUAGAGGAAAUAUUUUCUUUUUGAAUUAAAGUUGAAUCGAAAAGAGUAUGUGAUAUUUUGUGAUAGCCAAAAUGCUUGAGAUUUGAGUAUGAAUGCCAUGUACCAUACUAAAAUGAAGUACAUUGAUGUUAGAUAUCACUAGUUACUUUCAGUGAUUGAGGAAUAACAAAUACUAUUGAAAAAAGUUCAUACUGAUAAAAAUGUAGCAGAUAUGUUGAUUAAGACACUUUUCAAGAAUAAGCUUGAGCUCUACACUAACUUGGCCAAAAUGAGUUCCUUGGCUAAGGUAAAUUCUAAAUGAAACUACUAUGGUAAUGAAUCUCUUCUUAAUGGGGCUAAAGGGGGAGAUUGUUAGAAAAGUGGGGUCCAGCCCUAUGUAAUUGGGUUUGGACUAAUUAAAGACCAUAGGCCUCGGUCUUUCUUUUUACACAGAGCCAUAGCUACUUAAUAAAAAGAGGUGAGGCUAUUUUAAGGUGAAAAAAAAAAGAAAAUGGUGUCAAAAAACCCAUAAAAAAAAGAAAAAAAAGAAGCUAAGAAGAUAAAAAUAAAAGAAAGAAGGGAGAGUUGGUUGAACGAAAAUCGAUUUGUGAUUCGAUUAAACUGAAACUUUGUCAGCAAGUUUAUGAUUCAAAGUUCUACAUUCUAAAUGGUGAAACUCAGAUUUGAAGCUCUCUAGAAACAAAUCCAAUGUAUAUUUGUUGAGUCAACUAUUUGAUGAGAUUUCUCCAGUUGUCUCUCUAGUUGUUGAUUAGCUUUAAUUUUAGCUAGAGAAGAACUUUGUAUAUCUAUUGUUUGAUAGUGAAGAUUUUUUUCUUAUGAUCCAUGAUUUUUUCCUCUACAUUGAAAGGUUUUUCAAUGUAAAUUUUUUUGUGCUUUAUUUUUUUUGCAUUGUUGAUUGUUAUCUAUUACUGUGGGUUUAUUGCAAUAUAUUGCUUCUGCAUUGUUGUAUUUAUUGCUUCAGGCCCAACAAGUGGUAUUAAAGCCAGCUCUAGGGGUACUAGCUAUGUGCCAUCAAGGAUGGUAGACCCUCGUUGGAGUGGGAGAGGAUGUCAUGGUCCUAGAGAAAAGCCAUAAAUCCCACAUCAGUUGGGUACUAGAGUUGAUCUUGAGAUAUAAGGGUUUACAUCACCCUCUUCUUGUGAGGUAUCUUUUAUGGGAUAAAAUCGUGAGGCCAAGAAAGUGCUAGAGUGGAUAAUUUCUCAUAAGGGUGUGAAUCUUAGGCUGAUUUGAAAUGUCGAAUGAGUGCAUACAUGGGUUUUAGAGUAAUGCAGGCCUAAAGGUUGAGUCUCAACAUGUGACAAGAAGAUUGCUUUUAAAAUAAAAUUAUGGUAAUAUCAUUUUAAAAUAUGAUAUAUAACAAUUUGUUAUACAUAAAAGUGAUAGAAAUUCCAUAGGUAGACUCUGAGAGAACAAGGUACCUAUUGCAGAAAUCCUAAUUGAUAGGAUGUUAGACUAUUGAAGAAACUAAUUAUGGCUUUUUGAUUUGCCUAAAGAAAACAUAUAAUAAUAGAACAACAUGACCUCAAUUGAAAACACAAUACCUGCCUCUACCACAAACCAUUAAAUGCUAUCUCUAUGAAUGAACCAUCUUCCAAUCAUAACAAUUUCGUUGCUUAUGAAGGAAAAUGAGAUCUCUAUCAGAAGAGGAACAUCAUUCUUUUUUGAUUAAUCACUUCUUUGCUGACCUUCAACUUUCUUCAAACCAACCCAAUUUUGAUACAAAAUGUGGAUGCUAUAUAAGGAAAGAAAUAAUAACCCCCAAAAAAACAUUAAGUUCCCAUUUGCAAAGUCCUGGUCAUUACUCUCAUAAACUAUAGUAAGAUUAGGCCAAGAACAAUAAAUGGUGCCAAUAGAGGUUGGCAAAUGACUUUUCCAUUUCUAGGCAAUUACAAAUGAUGAAGAAGUAAGGUGGUACUGAUAGAAAAGCUACCAGCAAUGUUAAAUGGUAUGAAAGGAAAAGUUCACAAAUGAGGACCACUGAGAGUAGACCAAAGAGUCCAUACAUACAUAUUGGACACCAUUUUAGCCCAAAAGUUUAAGCUAUUAGGUUCUUAUGUUCUUUAUGCAUAUAUAAGACAUUUCAUUCAGAUUUUCUAAUGAUGUGAGAUUCUUUACUCACAUGUGAACCAUAUCCCAACAAUCUCCCUCGUUCACUUGUGAAUUCUGAUCAAGUCCUACCUUGACUUUCCCAUGUGAGUAAGUCCUAUCAACACCUCCAUUGGGCUAAGCAACCUCACAUCUCCAGUGCUCUUUUUUGGGUAGGCCACAACACUCAACCUUACUACCUAGGUUAUCUUAGUGCUCUCUCAAGCUUACACUCUAGGUUAACUCAACAUAUCGCCCACUUGGCCAGCAACACUAUUGGGACUCGAACCUGUAACUUCUCGAACCCAUCAUAAUUUUAGCUCUGAUACUACUUGUUAGGGAGAUAAACCACACUUGGAGCUUAUGAGAGCACUUCUGAGAGCCCAUACAUACAUUUUGGAUACCACUUGAGUCCAAAAGCUUAAGCUAUUAGGUUCUUGGGUCUUUCAUGCAUAUAUAGGACAUCUCAUUUAGAUUUGCUAAUGAUAUGAGAUUCUUUACUCACAUGUGAAUCAUAUCCCAACACAUAUAGCAAACCAUGGCUAAAAGCAAGGAAAGCUCUAUUGCAUGGAAAGUUGGCCAUGGUUUUGUUAUCUUUGGUAUAGAAAAUGAACAAUUAAUUUGAUAGAAAGAAUUGAGAAAAAUGAAGAUGAUGGGGCUUUGUUUGCUUCAAAUUGAGAUAAGUUCAUAUCUCGGAUGACUUCAUUUACUAGCAUUUUCAGUCAACGGGAAGGUAUGAACAAGUUGGAUCAAGAUUAAGACCACUUGACAUGUGACAGCUGCCAUGGUCAUUUUUAAAGGAAGUGAGUCAGUGAAUUAAACUAUAUUGGCUUGGUUUUUUUCCUUUGAUUUCAUUUAUUUUUUUUCAUUUUCCACCGAUAUUUUCAAAGUAGGGCGCCAUGCUGAAUAAACUUAACAUAACACUAUUUUUUUUUCCAAUAGUCACACUAUCCCUUAAUUUUAACUUUCCCAAAAUUUCUAUAAGGAUUACUAUGAGAUGAUUCUGAUAAUUAAAAAGUAAUUAAAUUUUAAAUGCAUUUAGUUAAUGCAGGGGAUCUUAAAAUCUUAAAUGCAUUCAGUUGAUGCAGGGGAUUUUAAAAUCGUAUGAAAAAAAUUAUAUUUAGAUAAAUCAUGAGAUAAGUGAACCGUCUUAACAUGAAAAAAAAUGGUAGAUGGGUAGAAAUAUAUAUAUUUUUAUUUUAAGAAAAAUUGGAACCUUUCCCUUUGAGUAGGCGAUUUAUGCCUACCAUUGAGACAUGUUCAAAUGAGCAGUUGUUUCUUAUAUAAAAAUAUAAAUCACAAUUUGAAGCUGAUUUAAUAAAUAUUUUACCAUCUAAUCAUUAGCACUUCGCAUCAUUACCCAUUUGUUGUUGAAUUUCUUUCUGCCUUUGCAAAACAGAUAUUUCAUUUAGUAUUUUCAGACAUUUCUAAGUCCAACCUGAAAUAUUUUCAUUAUUACAGAAGUGGAGAGUCGUCAAUUGCCUGAUCUUUUGAAUCUUAAUCAACUUCAGAAUAGUUUUGUUAAGCUUCCCCCCUUUUUACUGAACAAUUGCCUCUUCAAACAACCUAUAUCCCUCUUCACAUACCAUUUAGUUCUUGCUUGACCACCUCAAUUUCUCCUCUCAGCUGGCAAAUCUUCUUCCUGUCUUCAUCACAGCCUUUCCAUCAGCUGUUUACACAAAAAUGAAAGCAUUGAUAAUCAGCAAGGUGAAUCACAAUGAUCUCCUACUUUCUUUUGGGCUGGCAUAUUGACCUCUUUCAAGAGCUUCUUCUCCAUGGCCAUGUUAUUGGUUCCAUGAUGCAUUCGAAAACACAAGAUCUGGGUCAAAUUUUAGCCGUCCCGUAAGGACCCCAAAGCAGGAAAGAAGAUAACGGAACCAAUUAACCAAUUAAAUCUACGAUUCAUCCUUACAUGGAUAUUAAUCUUCUCUUUUGUAUUGAUACUCUCUCCUUAUACGCAUUGUUUGCAAAAGUGAGCUUGUCUAGGUCUCGUUUAGAGAAGCCACUUUCUUCCCAUUAUCGGUUCACCUACUUCUGAAACACUUCUCUCUAUAUUCUAAAUGGUAUAAUUGGAAAAAUGCCUGGCGUUCAUCAAACCGUUCAUAAUGUCCAAAAAAACUAGGUCAGUUGUCUUUAGUUUCUAACAAAUUUUGCAGAAAUUAAGAUUUAAUAAAAAAAAAACUAUGGUGUACUUUAAUUAUAGUUUCACUUAGUUUUUCUUGCCUCAUUCUUCUUGUUCUUGAAUCAUUAUAAGCGACAUAUACAUUAAGAACUGAACUCAAAAUAUGAAUAUCUAUGGUUUCAUUCAUAUAGUAACCCUUAAAAAGUAACAUUUAAAUGCAACAGGUCUAAAUUUUAAAAUUGCAGCGUUGCAAUGUCUUUUUUUUUUUUUUAAUCUCAUUUUGCGACUUUAGAUAAUGUGAAUAUAUAUCUCAAAAUUUACAUCAUAAUAUUGGUAGCCAUGCGCACGUCACGUGAGUUCAACUCAAAGUAACAAGGGUACAUACAAUCAGAUUUUAGUAGAGAUCUUUAAGUCAUAAUGCUUCUCUUGUAAAAAAAAAAAGAAAUCAUAGCCAAGUUUGCUUUUAAUUGUUUGAAUUGUUAUAAUGCAAUUGAAUUGAUAUAAUUAAGCCUAGUUGUCUCCUUUAUCUUCUUUGUGAUUCAAAAUAAGUCUUUAUUCAUGUUUGCCAUCAGCUUCAUAACCAUAUCACUAUAUUUUAUUUUCAAUUAUUAAAUCUACUUAUGCUUCAAGUUGACUAUAAAUCAAUUCAAACCUCACCAACAAAUAUUUUAUUAUUUUUUUGAGUUAGUCAUUUAUCAAAAUUGUUCAAUGCAAUAUGGAACAUACGAGCAAAAUAAUCACAUAAUUAAUAAAACGAGAUGAUUUAUCAAUUUCUAAUUCCGAUUAACAACUAUCAUGUUUAUCUCGUUACCUAUGGAGCAGGAAUCAUUGUAGUUUCAUUUUUUUAAACAAAUUUCAUAAACCUAUAUAAAAAUUUCAGAAUAUAAGAAUUAAAUUGAAAAAAAUACCUAUAUGUAUAAUUUAUGUAUAAGAAAUACAUGAAUAUAACAUUGUCCAUAAAAAAUUUAUAUAAAAAAUGUGUUUUGCAGCUCGACAACAUCUAUUUCAACAAUUGGUUUUAGAUUAAUUUUUGGUACAAAAAAAAGCCCAAACUUAGGGGCUAAGAUAAGAGGAAUUGCACCAGACAAAUAUAAUUUCGAAUUAAUUAAUAGAGCUCUUAUUAUGUAACUUCUUGUUUUAGGCUAGAAAAUGUGCCUAAACGUUAUUUUAUAACUUUGGGCUUGAUCAAAAUAUAAGGCUCAACCUUCUCUAGGUCUUCUAUUGUUAUUAUUUUUUUAAUAUUAAAGCCCAGUCCAAGCCUUACUGAAGUUGAUCUAAUGACAGCUCUAUUACGUUAAAUUUAAAUAAUAAUAAUAAUAAUAAUGAUAAUAAUAAUAAUAAUAAUAAUAAUAGAUUUAUUAAAAUUUAAAAUAAAAAUUGAUUGAACGAUAAUUGUAAAGCAACAUAUAUCAUACAAUGGAAACUUCAAUUGAACAAUUAUUUACUGUUACAAUAAGGGAUAACUUUUAUAUUAUGAUAUAGAUUUUAGAAUAUGUAAAAUAACAACAUAUGUAAAUAUUGCUCAACAUUAAUGGAAUUCAAAUUUUAAAGAUUUAAGAUAGUGUCGAGUCUAGUAAUUAGUAGCUUUUAACCUUUAUGAAAAUCAAAAAUUAAAAUUUAAAAGAUUAUCCUCUAUAAAUGGUUGAUAAUGAUGAGCUCUUGUUUUAAUAAUAAAAGUAAGAUUUUAAAAUUUAUAAAUUUUAAGUUCAAAUCACACCAUAUAUUUAUUUAAUUUAAUUAUAUAUUCGUUUUGCUUAUUAAUUUAUUUUUGUACAUAGAAUGGGCAUAAUUUAUAAGGGAAGAGAGAGGAGAUCAUAGUUUUGAAACUAAGAUUUCGAUGUUAUUCCAAAAACUUUUUAAUCACUAAAUCAAAAGUUGAGGAUAAAAUACUAUACAAUAUAUUUUUUAAAUUCAAACAAAAUAUACACAUUUGGUAAUGUUAAUGUUUAUGUAAUCAAAUAAUAUAUAAGGAAGAAUCAACUUACACUAGAAUAAAACUUACACCAUGUUUUUAACAUCUUAAACUAAAACUUUUAAAUUAAUUGAAUAUUUUCCUAAGAAAAAAAAUAUUUUUCAACCAUAUGCAUUUUAAAAUAAGAGAAAUAUACAUAUCUAUAUACAUAUAUAUAUAUAUAUCCUUUUAAUAAAAAUUCAAAAAUAUAAAAAACUUAAAUUUGUGUCUACUAGACAAUAUAAUGUACUAUAAUUAACAUUGAUACAUAUGUAGAUCCCAACAAAAAUAUAUAAUAUAAUUAUAUAUUAAGAGAUGGGUAUGAAUGAUUAAAGAAGUAAAGAAUAAGCCAAAAUAUUUUGUUUAUGAACUUGGAUCUUAAUUUAAUUGAUUCAUACUAAUAUAUUGAAGAAAUUGCAUCCAAUAUAUUUAGAGUUCAAAUCUCAAUAUCUAUACUCAUUUCUCUUAUCUCUAAGUUGAGAAUUGCUUUAUAAAUAUAUAUUCUUUAUUUUUAGUAACAAACGCAAUAUAUUUUUUUGCUACAACUUUUAAUGAUUCUUCUUCCUUCCUUCUUCCCUCAAACCUCCAAAAGUGAACUUGUUUAAAUGAAGUUCAUGAAAUUUUUUAUUAAAAUUAUUCAAUAAAAAUUAAAAUUUAAAAUUAAAACCAAUAAAUUAAAAAAUCUUGUUACAUAAAUUAAGUGUAUAAAUUUUGAAAAAAAUUAAUAAAAUUUGAUUUAUUUUUUAGAUAGAUAUUUUUAAUAAAAAUCUUAAUAAAAUUUUCCUAUUAAAUAAGUAUUUGUCAAAUUUAAAUUAGAAAAUAUAUUUUUAAUAAUUUUUUACAUAUUAUUAAUAUUCUCAUUAAAGAAAAGGAAUUACAACAUUAAUUAAAAAAAAAAAAGAAAAAGGAGUCUUCCACAGGGCUAAUUACUUGACACUCAUCAAGCAAUUAUUAAUAUUUUAUAAUUUUUUGUAAUUUUUUUCAUAAAAAUGUUUUUUGAAAAAUAUUUAUAUUAAUUUUUAAAAUUUUUUACCCAAAAACUUCUUUAUCUAGAAGCUUUAUAGAAGCUUUUUACUUUUUUUUUUUCAAUUUUAAACAAUUUAGUUUUAAAUUUAUUUUUAAUCAAUAUAAAUAAUUAUUGAACAUCCAAUCAAAAGAUGACAAAUGUCAUCAAAUUGGAUACCUUUAUAAAUAGUAUUAGAUUUGUAAACUACUUUUUUUGUUUUUUUUAGUGGUAAAUGGUUCUUGGAACCUACCCAGUACAUCCCUCUCUAGAUUGGUUUAAAUUGGUUUAUUUAUGUUGGACCUAGUAAAUACAGUAAAAAAAUAUUUUUUUAUAGUCUUUUAAUGGAUUAGGUAACAAAGAGAAAACAAUUUUUUUUUUGCCACUUAAACUAACUGGCUGUUGAUAAAUUUAGAAACUACUUUAAAUAAUCAUAAGAGAUUUAUUAAAAUUUAAAAUAAAAAUUAAUUGGAGGGUAAUUAUUAGGCAACAUGUGUCAUGCAAUGGAAGCUUCAAUUAAACAAUGAUUUACGGUUACAAUUAGGGAAUAACUUUAUAUUAUGGCAUAGAUUUUACAAUAUGUAAAAUAACAAUAUAUGUAAAUAUUGCACAACAUUAAUGGAGUUCAAAUUUUAGAGAUUUAAGACAAUGUCAAAUCUAGUAAUUAGUAGCUUUUACUCUUUAUGAAAAUCAAAUUUUAAAAUUUAAAAGAUUAUCCUCUAUAUAUGGUUGAUAAUGAUGAGCUCUUUUUUCAAUAAUAAAAGUAAGGUUUUAAAAUUUAUAAAUUUUAAGUCCAAAUCACACCACAUAUUCAUUUAAUUUAAUUCUAUAUUGGUUUUGCUUAUUAAUUUAUUUUUGUACAUAGAAUGGGCAUAAUUUAUAGGAGAAGAGAUAGAAGAUCUUAGUUUCAAAAUCAAGUUCUUUUUACGGUAUCCUAAAAACUCUUUAAUUACUAAAUCAAAAAAUUGAAGAUAAAAUAUUAUACAAUAUAUUAUUUAAACUAAUUUUUUUAUGAUAUCCUAAAAGCUCUUUAAUUACUAAAUCAAAAAGCAAAGGAUAAAAUAUUAUACAAUAUAUUAUUUAAAGUCAAACACAAUAUACACACUUAGUAAUGUUAAUGUUUAUGUAAUCAAAUAAUAUAUAUAAGGAGAAAUCAACUUACAUUAGUGUAAAAUUUUUUAGUUUUACAUUUUUUUUAACAAUUGAUUUAAUAAAUCUAAGAGACGAGAGACACAAGUUAAAAAAAAGAGUUUAAUUUCAUUUCUUAAAUCAUUUAAUUUAAUUCUAUAUUGGUUUUACUUAUUAAUUUAUUUUUGUACAAAGAAUGAGCAUAAUUUAUAGGAGAAGAGAUAGAAGAUCUUAGUUUUAAAAUCAAGUUUUUUUAUGAUAUCCUAAAAUCUCUUUAAUUACUAAAUCAAAAAGCUGAGGAUAAAAUAUUAUAUAAUGUAUUAUUUAAAGUCAAACAAAAUAUACACACUUAGUAAUGUUAAUGUUUAUGUAAUCAAAUAAUAUAUAUAAGGAGAAAUCAACUUACAUUAGUGUAAAAUCUUUUAGUUUUACAUUUUUUUAACAAUUGAUUUCAAUAGAUCUAAAGGAUGAGAGACACAAGUUAAAAAAAGGUUUUAUUUCAUUUCUUAAAUCUAUUAAAAUUAAUGACUAAAAUAUAAAAAAAAUUAGUGUAACUUAAUUCUUUCCUAUAAAUAUAUAUAUAAUUGGUGGUUUAUGCUUUAUAAAUUAUAAACCAAUAAUAACCUAGAUACGUAGUGACGUCAUGUUUUCAACAUCUUAAACUAAAAUUUUUAAAUUAAUUGAAUAUUUUUCCUAAGAAAAAAAAAUAUUUUUCAACCAUAUGCAUUUUAAGAUAAGAAAAAUAUACAUAUAUAUAUCCUUUUAACAAAAAUUCAAAAAAAUAAAAAACUUAAAUUUGUAUUUACUAGACGAUUUAAUGGACUAUAAUUCACAUUGAUACAUAUGUAGAUCCCAACAAAAAUAUAUAAUACAAUUACAUAUUAAGAGUCGAGUUCGAAUGAUUAAAGAAGUUAAGAAUAAGCCAAAAUAUUUUGUUUAUAAAUUUAGAUCUUAAUUUAAUUAAUUCAUAUAAAUAUAUUUAAGAAAUGAUAUCUAACAUAUUUAGAGUUCAAAUCUCAAUAUUUAUAAUCAUUUUCAUUAUCUCUAAAUUGAGAUUUGCUUUAUUAAUAUAUAUUCUUUAUAUUUGGUAACAAACACAAUAUUUUUUUGCUACAAAUUUUAAUGAUUCUUCUUUGUUCCUUCUUCCCGCAAAUCUCCAAAAGUGAAGUUUUUUAUGUGAAAUUUAUGAAAUUCUUUAACAAAAAUGAUUCAAUAAAAAUUACAAUUUAAAAUCAAAUUUAAUAAAUUAAAAAAUUUUGUUAUAUAGAUUAAAUAUAUAAAUUUUAAAAAAAAAUUAAUAAAAUUUGAUAUAUUUUUUAAAUAGAUAUUUUUAAUAAAAAAACUUAACAAAAUUUUUACUAUUAACUAAAUAUUUAUCAAAUUUGAAUUAUAAAUGAUAUUUUUAAUAAUUUUUUAAUAUAUAUUAAUCUUUUCAUUAAAUUCAAUUGAUUUUAUUAAAUUAUUUUUAAUAAAAAAUUUUACAAACUUUAUCUAAAUAAGUUUAUUAAGAAUCUCCCUCCCUUAAUAUUACCUAGCCACCGACAUAUUCUCGUUUGUUCUUUCUUCUAACAACGUAACUUCACCAUCGUCCAAGUUGCCUUCGGCGUUUUUAUAUAUAGUCAAAGGAAACUUUCAAAAAGGAAAGUAAAGUUGCUUGUUUCAUUGAAGAUAAUAUUGAAGUCCACAUCACUCUGGACAACUCCUCCAAGUUAUUUCCCAUUAAUUUCCAUUCCGCGUAUGAAUUUCUUGGAUCAGACAAAAUGAUUUAAUGAACUUUUUUCUUGGUUGGUUCCUAGUCAUAGUAACAGCCCCCCAAAAAAAAUUAAUGUGAAUACUAACGAUUAGUAACGAUCCUUACAGUGUAAUUUUCAGAUGGAUGUACUAAGUUUCCAAAAACCAUUUUCUGUAUUGCAUUUUUUUCUUUGACUUCCCUUGGCUGCCAAAGGUUUCUCUGAAGCAUCUUCUUCAAAUUUUUUUAUUUCUUUUUUAAAGCAAAUUCUAAGAAAAACAAAAGGCAAGACCUAAUUGAAUGAAAAUUGUCUAUCAAUGAUAUCUUUAAUUUUUAAAAUAAUAUAAAUUAUUUGAAUUUAAGUUUAUAUAUUUUCUUAUUUAUGUAUGAAGAUAUAAAUAUAUAUAAAGUACAAUAUUAAUUUAAAAAAGAAAAGUAGUCUUUUAAAGAGCUGAUUAUUUGACACUCAUCAAGCAAUUAAUAAUAUUUUAUAAUUUUUGUAAUUUUUUUAUAAAAAUAUUUUUUUAAAGUAUUUAUUGUCAUAACAUAUAGAUUCAAAAAUCUAUAGCUAGACUUAACAAAAAGAGUCACCACCAAUCUUUUUUAACUAGAUGUGAUUGGUCACUUAAGGAAUCUAUCCUUUUUAAGGAGUUCCUAAGCUUAACUAAAGGUCCCUAAAAGAAUAAAUUCAAGUCUAUAAACCAGAAUAGGGUUCAAAAGUUUGGUUACAUAUGGAAAGCGUUAUAACACACCUACAUGCCUAUCCACAGGAUGGUAUCAUUUUAUUUUAAAUUUAUCCUAAGGUCCUGAUUUUAAUGAUUUUAAAUUUUAAUGUUAAAUGUUGAAAAUAAUUCUUAAAACUCUCCAUCAAUCUAAUAGAAUUCUUAAAAAUAUUUCUUCAUCUCAAGAGUAUUCAAGAAUCCCAUUUGAUUUCUUAAAAAGGCUUCGUCGUCGGAAAAAGUUUAAUCAUUUUUUAUUUGGUUUUUAUUUUUGAAAAUAUAUUUAAUUAUUCCAUCAUUUGAGUCAAAUUAGAAAUAUUUUCUCUUUUUGAAUUUCUAAAUUUUUCACCAUUUGGACCUAUUUAGAAAUUCUUUUUAUUUAUUUAUUUUUUUGCAAGAACAUAAUAUGACAAUUAUUUUUCUUGAAAUUUCAUUUAAAUUCUUCCACCCUUUGAAACAAAUUUAAAGAAAUUUCUCACCUAGAGAUUUCUUACGAAUUUACCAUUUGAAAUUUCUAAGAAUUUCACUCUUAGAUAAUUAUCAAAUAUUUUUAACCAAAAAUUUUUUAUUUGAAAAAGAAUACAAUUGCUUUUAUUGAAAUUUCAUCUAAAUUAUUUCAUCAUUUGGGACAUAUUUAGACAAAUUUCUCACAUAGAGAUUUCUUAAAAAUUUACCAUUUGAAAUUUCUAAGAAUCCCAUCCUUGGGCAAUUUGUAUUUAAUUCUAAAAUUUUAUUAAUAUUUUAUUUUUUAUUUUUGGUUUUUUUUUGUUUGAAAAUAAAAUAUUAAUUAUUGUUAUUGAAAUUUUAUCUAAAUUAUUCCACCAUUUGGGACAAAUUUAGACAAAAUUCUUCACUUAGGAAUUUUAUAAAAAUUUACUAUUUGAAAUUUCUAAAAAUGCUAUCAUUGAAUAAAAUUUAUUUAUUCUCAAAAAAUAUUUUAUUUUUUUCCAAAUUUUAUCAUGCAAAAAUACUGAGAAAAAAAAAACAAACACAUAAAUAAAAUACUAAAUAAAAUAAAAAUGCCCCCAAAAAACAGAAAUGGCUCAGCUAGAAGGUUGAAAUGGUUCGACUGGAGGCACAAAUAAUAGCUUGAAGGCACGGCUUAGGAAAUUGGCUCGGCUCAGCUAUAGGGUCUGGUUGAAACGCAAGUUGGCAGAGUGAGUUGCAAUUGAGUCAGGUCCCUGAAUGAAAAAUGCGCAGAUCUUGGGGUUCCUUAAAGCGAAAAUAGCAUUGUUUUGGGGCCGGUAUAAAAGGCAACACCCAGCCUUUUUUCCUUAGAUUUCACUUUCCCUCCUCUCUCUCUCUUCCCUUUUCUUUUCUCUCUUUCUCUCUCUAAAACCCCAAGAAUACCAGUUGAAUCUUCAUCAAAUUCUAAGAUUUUCAUCGAAAUCUGGAUAGGAUCGCUGGAAUCUGGCUAAAAGUUCAUCGGUUUCUAAAAAAUGGAUAUCAAAAACUAAGAACUUCACCGAAAUCUAAGGAUGUCACCGGAAAGUAGCCAAAAAUUUCAAAUUCGAAGAAAAAUUUCACCGAAAUCUAAAAAUUUUUUAGAAAAUUUCCUAAAAAAAAAUCUCUUUUUUUUUUUCAAAACCUAAAAAAAUUUUCCAAACUCUUUUUUUGACUACUUUCCGCUUUUCUAUGCAACCUAUAUUUCUCUCUGUUUUCCCUCUAAUUUUUUUUUAUGUUUCUCCUUUAUGAUUUGGGUCUGUAUUUAUAGGAUUAAAACCACAAAAUCUCCAAUCUGAAUAGAAAUUCCAAUUCCUUCUAAAUUUCAACUUUAACCCCUAAAUUCAGUUCAAAUUCAAACACCUAGCUUUAAUCAAACUCAACACCUAUUUUUUCAUUUUUUUAUUAUAAUUUUUUUUUUGUUAACAAAAUUAUCCUAAUAGAACACCAGACAGAUUGUGGUGUCUACAUUUAUAUUAAUUUUUAAAAUUUUUUUGUAAUUUUUUACCCAAAAACUUUUUUUUUAUCUAAAAGCUUAUUUAAACAGUUAGUUUUACCUUCAUUUUUAAUUAAUACAAAAAAAUUUAUUAAACAUCCAAUCAUAAGAUGACAAAUGUCGUCAAAUUGGAUGCCUUACGAAUAAUAAUAAAUUUGGAGACUAUUUUAUUAUUUAAAGGAUUGAUUGACUUAUAUAUCUUGAGUAUCGUCUGUUUAAUUCUGAGUUUUGCUAUUGAGUUUUGAAAGCAAAAGGGAUGUCAUUGUUUUUUAUCUAUAUUGCUUAGAUAAUUAUUUUUUAUCUUCCAUUCUUAGUAUAUCACUUUAAGAAAAGUGAUAAAACUUAUCUCAAAAGUGAAAGUACAUAAAACAGAAACAAUACUCAAAUUGAGUUUUCCUUUUUAUCUCAAAAACAAAAUAGAUAAAACCUUGGGCCUUUGCAAGGUUUAUAACUUAAUAAAUCAACUACAUGUCUGCAUCAAUCUCUUAAUUUAAUAAAAUAUUUUCAAUAUGCUUUUACUCUAAAUCAGUCACCAAAGUAGGCUUUUGAUAACAAAAUUUGAACUUAUAUCCAAAAUAUUCAAAUCUUAUAAAUUCAACCAAUCUCUAUUGACCUGCUCUGCCUGCCGUGCUUCACUCGAAUCGUAAUAACUUCCUCAAUUUAUAUAGAAAUUGGUCAUUAAUUGUUGUCAGUAGCAAUGAUUAUAUUUUUAGUGACUUAUAAAUGCAUAUUAACUUGCAAUUGUUUAAUUAGAAUUGUCACCAUCAAAUGGGCCAAAAUGGAGGGAAAACAAAUUUAACAAUCGAAAUUGCCUGUUUAACAUUUUUUUAAACUUAAAAAAUUGAGAAAACUAAUGAUGGAAGGAAAAUUGUAGUACCUUUUUAUGAUACAAUUUGUACAUCCACCAAAUAUAACUGAAAUCCAUGUGUAGGGGACAUGGACACGGACAUGGUGCAUUGCUUGACUGUUCAGGCAUUUCAAUGUUCAUUGCACCACUUUAUGCAGAAUCGACAGAGACAAAGUAACAACCAGCAUCCUAGGAUCAAAAUAGGUUGUAUGAUGAAUUCUCGACUACCCACAACAAUAAGAAAACAAUACCCUACAACUAAAGCUGUUCCUUUCCAGAAUUCAUCAUAUAGAAAAAGGAAUAACCAACAUCCUACAUUUACAUUUCCUAUCAAACUAUGAAACAGAAUACUUGUACGGAAUAAACAACAUCCUAGAAUUAAAACACUAACUUUUGACACCCGAUAAGCAAAACACAUGAACAUCAUCAAAACUAAAACCAUAACUGAAAAUGCAUCGAUAACUCCAGCUGCUAAAUCAGUUGGCGCUAGGUGAAAGAUUGAUUCAUAAAAGCAUAUAGCAAGAAAUGCAAGGAGUACCUGAAGAGCAGUUCUGAAACCACGAGGAAAAGGUUUAAGGAGACCCAAUGUUAAGAAAAACGUUACCAUGAAGACAGCCGAGGAUGGAAUGUAGAAAUAAAGAAAAUCAAUUUCCUUCAUGACUGAUUUUCCUACUUUUUCUUUAUCUCUUUGAUUGUCAAUGGAGUUUGAGGAACUGUCUCCCUGCCAAACACUGCCAGGUGGGCUAAGACCGGCUUGGUAUGUUGCUGUUAAAAGCAGUCCUAGAAUUACUAGUAAGGCAUUGCGGUCCUCAAUUGAUAUAUUGUCCAUAUCUUGAAAUAUUAAAGUUGAUGCCUUAGACACGUACUUGAAAAUUUGUUUCUCCAAUUUAUAAUAAAAACUUGAAACUCUUGGAAUACAGCAACCACGCAGAAUUCUAAUGCAUUCUCUGUUAUUAAGUUGUUGUGCGACAUCCAGUGCCGUUGAACCAGCCUGAUUAGUCGCAUGUUUAUCAGCCUUGCAUUGCAAUAGCAGUUUGAGCAUCUGUAUAAUCAAGCGCUUGAUGAUAUUAUACAAUCUAAAAUGAAUCUAUUUCUUUUGCUAAAAGUAGAAUUAAUUAGAGCAUAUGUGUAGAACCUCAUGUCGAUUAUCGCGGGCAGCUAUGUGCAAGGCAGUUUCGCCAUUCCUGUCUUUCUGAUUCACCACUUUCUCACGAUAGUCAGUCCUCCUAAGCAUCCCGCAUAAGAGUUUGAGUGCUUCUAAUUCAUUGUUUCUUGUUGCAAUAUGCAAGGCAGUCUCGUUUGUAGUUGUCACAUCUCGGACGCAUUCAGGACAAACCUUCAGAAAUCUGGCUAUGAGAUCAUGUUUGUGUUCUCUGGUUAUUGCGUAGUGCAAUGGAGUCUCACCCUUCUUCCCUUUGACACGAACAAGAUCUUUAUCAUUUUCCAAGAGAAGUAGCACAAGCUCUUUAUGCCCCUUUUCCACUGCAAGAUGAAUGGGACUAAAGCCUUGUUGGUUUAGCUUCCUAGCAAACGUGGGCUUUAAGGUCAGUAACUCCAUUGCAAAAUCAAUGCACCCUUCAUCUGCAGCUACGUGCAGUGGAGUGUCGAUAAACUCCACCUUCUCAAUGCGCUUCAAAACAUUACCAUCUUCCUGAAUUAAUCUAUACAGAUCACUAAUGUUUCCUUGCCGAGCAGCUGUUCUCAAACUUUCAUCCAUGUCAGAAAAACCAAAUGACUAUAGGAGGAAAUUUGAAAUAGUUUAAGGCCAAUUACAAUUAAUUGAAAGAUCGGAGACUUGGGUUAACAAGGAAACAUUAAGAAAGCAGAAAAACCAGAAUAUAUCAAUUGGGGACCGUAUUUUCGUUGAAGGCGCGUGGCAACUUUCUUAUAUGUGUUUUCUAUCCGGAGUGAAAGUCUAUAUAUGGCUUUUAAAUAUAUUUGUUUUUGUUUAUUGACUAGGAACCAAAUUUCCAAGGAUUAGUUGUCGGGAAUUUUCCAAAUGAUGAAGAUUGAUGCCGUUUAGCAUUAAAUCAACGGGACCAUACACGUACGAAAAUAAGAAAAUUUGACGAAAAUUUUCAUGACGUGUAUCAGGUCAUUUUUUUUUAAUGUUUUAUUGCAUUGCUCCUCACCUCAUAAUUAUUGGACGAGAAAAAAAAGUUUCAGUCAUAUACUUUGGCGGAUGCAAUAAAAUUCAAUAAUUGAUUAUGCUUUAUAGUAACGAAAUCAAUCCAUUAAAUAUUCAUUGAUUUAAAAAUAUUAAUUAUUUGAUUUGGGUAAAAAAAACUUGCUUAAGAUUUAUUUUGUUUAUUUUAUUUUAUUCAAAUGUACAAAAUUAUUUGAUUUGAUUAAAGAUCAAUAUUUUAUAUGUUUUUAAAAGUUAAAAAAAUAAUUAUAAUUGAAUAAAUAUACUAGAUAUAAUUGUACAAAUAGAUAUCUAUUUAUAUAAACAUAAUUAUCUAAAUACAUAUUUAAUUGUAAAGAUGAGUUUUUUCUCAAACCCAAGUAUUUUUAAUUUUAAUUCCUUAACUAAAACACUUCUAAAUUUUAUUCUAAAAUAUAGAUACUUUCACUCAAUUAAAUUCUACGUUAGUAUUUUAUUACACAUUCUACUUCCUUAACUUCUCUCUCUUGCCCCUCCCUACAAAGUUGCACUUGCAAGCUGAAGUCGAAAUGUUUAAAAAGUAUCUGAAAUCCGAUUACAACUUUCAUGAAAUGUUCAAAAAGUAAAACAUUAACUCUUCUAAUUCCAUCAAAUAUAAUCAAAGGUUUCAUAAUUCAUGUGAGGUAAACUAUUAACAAGAAUAACAAGUAUACUUUUGAAAGAGAGAGAUGAAAAGUAAAGCGAGAAAGUGGAAGGGGUACGGCAAGACGAACAGUUGCAAUCGAUCAAAGGGGUAUAGGCAAUUGCGUUCAGAGAUAGAACAAUGGAAAAGGAAGUUAAUCAUAGUCUUUGUCGAUAAUAUCGAUCCUCAAGGCAGGGAAGUAGAUAUUGUGGGAUAAGAUCAUGUAGCAAGGGAGAAUCCUAGAUGUCUACAUUCAUUUAAAGAGGAAAAUAUCUAGGCGUAGCAAAUUUGGCUUCUUUCGUUUCAAGGAUUUGCAUAAGGCUCUAUCUGUCAUAAAAGCAUCUGACGGAUCCGUUUGGAAUGGAUGGAGAUUGAGGGUGGGUCUAGCCAAGUACGAGAAAAGUCAUAGUGGAAUAUCUACAAUAAAUCAAAUGAAAAGCAAAACCCUCCUUUAGUUCUCCUAUCUCGCAUAUGAAAAUUAAGAAGGCUGGGAACAAUCUAUGCAAAAGGGGUAAAAAUGUAUGUUCUAGCGGAGCAUGUAACAAUGCAGGAAGGCAGCGUCAACGCAACAAACCCAAAAGGAAUAGCGCCACCAGCUCUGGCAGUAGAAGAUAAGAAUCAAAGGCAGAACCAGAUUAUUGUGGAAGAGGAAGACUUUUUGACGGAUUGGUUAGAGAAGUGUGCAGUGGCAGAGGUAAAAAACCCACAAGCAAUCCAUAUUCUUCAACAACACACAUUUAGUGAAUGAGUUAUGCACUUUUCUGUAAGAAUGAUGGGAGGAAGUAUGGUUCUACUACAGCUCGAAUCCAAAGAAGAAGUGAUUAGCAUGUUAGGAGAUGGUAAAACGUGACUUGAAGAAUGGUUCUUCUGGACAAAACCUUGGAGACAUGACUUAAUAAGUUAUGAAAAGUUUAUUUGGCUAAAGUUGGAAAACAUUCCUCUUCAUGCAUGAUGCAAUGAAAUUUUAAAAUGAUGGGUCAUAAAUGGGGCAACUUCUGUUAGGCUAAAAAGCUUCAAUUCAAUCACACCAGUGAAAGUGAAAUCAAACAAUCAAUCAAUCAUAUAAGAGACAAUAAUUUAAUGUAGUUUGAUCCAACCGACCUACGUCUAUAGAUGAGAAACAAGAUCCAUUAGUUAUAGAAAAUUAUAAAUAAAUAUCAAAUCAAAUCAAACACUCAUAACUAAUACCCAUAAACCCUUUCAAUCUUUUCUAGUCCUAUGGAGUAUUCUCAACCCAAACAAAUACAUCCCAUGUGCACUCUUUCAACACAAACAAACACAAACCCAUAUGUACCCAUUCAUCAUACCUAAGUAGACCCUCUCAAUCUUCUUUAGUCCACUCCUAAACAUUCAAACUUAUAUACCUAUAAUACGUAAAUCCCCAAUACUCUUAUGUGUGUCUAUCCUACAAAACCUUACAAUUUUCUUAUUUUUUUUCUUAUACCUAAUCUUGUAGAGACUUCAACUAUUUAUAAUUAUACAAACUUGCCUAUUAAAAAUCUUUUUUUUUUAGAAUUCUUCUUCUGCAAGUCAAACUUGCCUAUUAAGAAUCUCUUUCUUUUUAGAAUUCUUCUUCUAUAAGUCUUUUUGUCUAUCAAAUAAUAUAUGACCAAUCUUAAAUAAAUCUCUUAUGGGAUUUGAGUCAUUAUUCCCAACAAUUGACUUGUUGGGCAAAAAGCCCCAAUCUAAUUCGUGUCAACAGAAGUAUAAUCAAAUAAUCAAUAAAAAAUAUAAGAGAUUUAUUUGUGAUUAGCCAGAUAUUUCUUGAUGGAUAAAAAACUUUACAAAAGAAGAAUUCUAAGAGAAAAGGUAUUCUUAAUAAGCAAAUUUGACCUACAGAAGAUGAAUUCUAAAAAGAAAGAGAUUCUUAAUAGGCAAGUUUGACUUGCAAAAGAAAAAUUCUAAAAGAAAAGGGAUUCUUAAUAAGCAAGUUUGUAUAGUUAUAAAUAAGUAAAGUCUCUACAGGGUUAGGUGUGAUAAAAAAAAUGUACGAGAGUUGUAGGGUUUUAUGGAAUAGACAAUCCUAGAGAUUUACAUCUUAUGAGUGUGUAAAUUAAAUGUUUUGAAGUGGACUAAAUGAGAUUGAGAGGGCUCACAUAGGUAUGAUGAAUGGAUACAUAUAAGUUUGUGUUUAUUUGUGUUAAAAAUUAUAUUAUAUUAUAAAAAUUACAAUUUAAAAUCAAAAUUAAAAAAUCUUGUUAUAUAGAUUAAAUGUAUAAAUUUUAAAAAAAAUUAAUUAAAUUUGAUAUAUUUUUAAAUAGAUAUUUUUAAUAAAAAAACUUAACAAAAUUUUUUACUAUUAAAUAAAUAUUUAUCAAAUUUGAAUAUAAAUUAUAUUUUUAAUAAUUUUUUAAUAUAUAUUAAUCUUUUCAUUAAAUUCAAUUGAUUUUUAUUAAAUUAUUUUUAAUAAAAAAUUUUACAAACUUUAUCUAAAUAAGUUUAUUAAGAAUCUCCCUCCCUUAAUAUUACCUAGCCACCGACAUAUUCUCGUUUGUUCUUUCUUCUAACAACGUAACUUCACCAUCGUCCAAGUUGCCUUUGGAGUUUUUAUAUAUAGUCAAAGGAAACUUUCGAAAAGGAAAGUAAAGUUGCUUGUUUCAUUGAAGAUAAUAUUGAAGUCCACAUCACUCUGGACAACUCCUCCAAGUUAUUUCCCAUUAAUUUCCAUUCCGCGUAUGAAUUUCUUGGAUCAGACAAAGUGAUUUAAUGAACUUUUUUCUUGGUUGGUUCCUAGUCAUAGUAACAGCCCCCCCCCCCCCCCAAAAAAAAAAAAAAAAAAACACAAAAGUAAUGUGAAUACUAACUAUUAGUAACGAUCCUUACAGUGUAAUAUUCAGAUGGAUGUGCUAAGUUCCAAAACCCAUUUUCUCCACUGCAUUUUUUUCUUUGACUUCCUUGGCUGCCAAAGGUUUCUCUGAAGUAUCUUCUUCAAUUUUUUUAAAUUUCUUUUUUGAAGCAAAUUCUAAGAAAAACAAAAGGCAAGACCUAAUUGAAUGAAAAUUGUCUAUCAAUGAUAUCUUUAAUUUUUAAAAUAAUAUAAAUUAUUUGAAUUUAAGUUUAUAUAUUUUUCUUAUUUAUGUAUGAAGAUAUAAAUAUAUGUAAAGUACAAUAUUAAUUAAAAAAAAAGAAUAGUCUUUUAAAGAGCUAAUUAUUUGACACUCAUCAAGCAAUUAAUAAUAUUUUAUAAUUUUUGUAAUUCUUUUAUAAAAAUAUUUUUUACAAAGUAUUUAUAUUAUUUUUUAAAAUUUUUUUGUAAUUUUUUACCCAAAAACUUUUUUUUAUGUAAAAGUUUAUUUAAACAAUUUAGUUUUACCUUUAUUUUUAAUUAAUAUAAAAAAAUUAUUAAACAUCCAAUCAUAAGAUGACAAAUGUCAUCAAAUUGGAUGCCUUACAAAUAAUAAUAAAUUUGGAGACUAUUUUUUUAUUUAAAGGUACAAGGUUCUUGAAUUCUACCAAGUUCAUCCUUCUCUAGAUCGAUUUUAAAUAGAUUUAUUAAUGUUGGGUCUAACAAAUUCAUGAGAAGUUAUCUUUUCAUAGCCUUUCAGUGGAUUCAAACCUAGAUAACACACCUUGUUUGCCAUUGAAAUUAACCAUAUGUUAAUAGAUUUGGGAACUACUUUAAAUAAUAAUAAUAGCUUUAUUAAAUUUUAAAAUAAAAAUUAAUUGAAGGGUAAUUAUAAAGCAACAUGUGUCAUAAAAUGGAAACUUCAAUUGAACAUUUAUUUACUGUUUCAAUUAGGGAUAACUUUGUAUUAUGGUAUAGAUUUUAGAAUAUGUAAAAUAAUAUUAUAUAUAUAUAUAUAAAUAUUUCUCAACACUAAUGGAGUUCAAAUUUUAGAGAUUUAAGAUAGUAUCGAGUCUAGUAAUUAGUAGCUUUUACCCUUUAUGAAAAAUCAAAUAUUAAAAUUUAAAAGAUUAUCUCUAUAUAUGGUUGAUAAUGAUGAGCACUUGUUUUAAUAAUAAAAGUAAGGUUUUAAAAUUUACAAAUUUAAGUUCAAAUUGCACCACAUAUUCAUUUAAUUUAAUUUUAUAUUGGUUUUGCUUAUUAAUUUAUUUUUUUACAUAGAAUGGGCAUAAUUUAUAGAGGAAGAGAGAGGAGAUCCUAGUUUCGAAAUCAAGAUUUUUACAUUGUUCUAAAAAUUCUUUAAUCAUUAAAGCAAGAAGUUGAGGAUAAAGUAUUAUGUAAUAUAUUAGUUAAAUUCAAACAAAAUAUUACACACACUUUGUAAUAAUAAUGUUAAUGUUUAUGUAAUUAGAUAAUAUAUAUAUAUAUAUAUAUAUAUAGGGGAGGAAUCAACUUACACUAGUGAUUUCUAUAUUACACAAAAUAUUACACACACUUUUUAUUAACAAUUGAUUUCAAUAGAUCCAAGGGAUGAGAGACAUAAAUGAAAAAAAAAAGUUUUACACUUUUUUUUAAUUAUUGAUUUUAAUAGAUCUAUGGAAUGAGAAACACAAGUGAAAAAGAAAAGUUUAACCUCAUCCCUUAAAUUUAUUGAAAUCGAUAGUUAAAAAAAUAUAUAAAACUUUUUUGGUGUAACUUAAUUCUUCUCCAUCCAUAUAUGUAUAUAUAUAUAUAUAUAUAUAUAUAUAUAAUUGAUGGUCUAUGCUUUAGAAAUUCUAAACCAACAAUAGCAUAGAUAUGUAGUGAUAUCAUGUUUUUAACAUCUUAAACUAAAACUUUUAAAUUAAUUGAAUAUUUUUCCUAAGAAAAAAAAAAGAAUAUUUUCAAUCAUAUGCAUUUUAAGAUAAGAAAUACAUACAUAUAUAUAUAUAUAUAUAUCCUUUUAACAAAAAUUCAAAAAUAUAAAAAAACUUAAAUUUGUAUUUACUAGACCAUGUAAUAUACCAUAAUUAACAUUGAUACUUUUAUAGAUCACAAUGCAAAUAUAUAAUAUAAUUAUAUAUUAUUAGUAAAAAUAUAGGUAUUUUUAGUAAAAAAAUUUAAAAAAGUUUUUACUAUUAAAUAAGUAUUCAUCAAAUUAAAAUUAUAAAUGAUAUUUAAAAAAAAAAAAUUUUACAUAUUAUUGAUUUUUCAAUGAACUCUAUCAAUCAAUUGAUUUUUACUAGCAAACCAUGGCUAAAAGCAAGGAAAGCUCUGUUGCAGGGAGAGUUGGCCAUGGUUUUGUCGUCUUUGGUAUAGAAAAUGAACAAUUAAUCUGAUGGAAAGAAUUGAGAAAAAUGAAGAUGAUGGGUCCUUGUUUGCUUCAAAUAGAGAUUAGUUCAUAUCUCGGAUGACUUCAUUUACUAGCAUUUUCAGUCAACGGGAAGGUAUGAACAAGUUGGAUCAAGAUUAAGACCACUUGACAUUGACAGCUGCCAUGGUCAUUUUUGAAGGAAGUGAUUCAGUGAAUUAAACUAUAUUGGCUUGGUUUUUCUCCUUUGAUUUGAUUUAUUUUUUCCCAUUUUCCCCGAUAUUUUCAAAGUAGGGCCUCAUUCUGAAUAAAUUUAAGAUAACACUAUUUUUUUUCCCAAUAGUCACACUAUCCCUCAAUUUUAACUUUCCCAAAAUUUCUACAAGGAUUACUAUGAGAUGAUUCUGAUAAUUAAAAAGUAAUUAAAUCUUAAAUGCAUUUAGUUGAUGCAGGGGAUUUUAAAAUCGUAUGAAAAAAAAUUAUAUUUAGACAAAACAUGAGAGAUAAGUGGACCGUCUUAACAAAAUAAAAAAUGGUGGAUGGGUUGAAAUAUAAUUAUUUAUUUUAAGAAAAAUUGGAACCCCUCCCUUUGAGUGGGCGAAUUUACGCCUACCAUUGAGUCAUGCUCAAGUGUGCAGUUGUUUCUCAUAUAAAAAUAUAAAUCACAAAUUUGAAGAUCAUUUAAUCCAAGUUCUACCAUCUAGUUUUCUCCUUAUUUUUCGUACUUUUGUCAUUAGCACUUCAGCAUCAUUACCCAGUUGUGUUGAAUUCUCUUCUGGCUUUACAAAACAGUUAUUUCAUUCAGUAUUUUCAGACAUUUAAUUUCUAAGUCAAACUGAAUAUUUUCAUAUAUACAAAAGUGGAAAUCAUCCAAUUGCCUGACUUUGAAUCUUAAUCAACUUUAGAAUAAUUUUGUAAGCUUCCCCCUUUUUUCCUGCGCACAUCUAACAGCUGCCUCUUCAAACAACCUAUAUCCUUCUUUACGACAUUUAUUUCUUGCUUGACCAGCUCAAUUCUAUCUCUCAGCUGCAAAUAUUCCUUUUUGUCUUCAUCAGAUGAUGCCUUAUUCAUCAGCUGUAUAACAAAAUGAAAGGAUUGAUAAUCAGCAAGGUGAUUAUAUACGGCUUUUGGCACCAAUUAGCAAAUUUUAGGUGUAGUAGUAUUUGAAAGACUUUAGUUCAUGUUACCUUAAUUUGAUGUUUGAUGACAUUUUUUGACGGUAAAGAAUUCCAAGUCUUUCCCUUCACAGGAGCAUUAGCAGAGGCUUUAUCUCUUGCACAUUUCAGCUCUUUAAACUCUUUCAGAACUUGCUUUUCAUCAACCGUUAUUGCUGGUUUUGGGAUGAAAUAAUUCCUAUGAAUAUUCCAGUGCAACUCCCAUAUCUGUUUACAGAGCUCAAGAAAAUGUAAUAAAUAAAAAAAGAAACCUUAAGAUAUAAUUAUUAUCAUUAUUUAUAUUGGGAAUUGAGAGGUUUCAACUCAGCUUUUUAAACAAAAUAAAAAGCACGCUUCAAUUAUUAAAUCAAAUAUUUGGUUGGAUUAAUUUCUAAUUUUUUAUCAUUUAAAAAAUCUUUAAUUGUUUGAUUAUCAAUUCUAAUAAUAGAAUUUUCAGUUAUUAAAUAAAUAUGAAAUUUAAUUACUGUAUUUUUUAUAGCAAAUAAUUUUUUUUUCAAAUAUAAUAUACUUUAAUUUAUUGGGUUUAAAUUUUCCUAAAUUAUAAUCAUAAAUUAAUUCUUAAUCGUGUACCUUUAGUUUAAGUAUACAUCCUAAAUGUUGGUAUGAGGCGUGUGUUUCGAGAAUAAGUAAUUCUCCUAAUUUAGGAAGAUAUACUUUAGGUAUAAAUUUAUGAUCUGAUUUUAUUUGCUUAAUAAUAUCAUAAUCAUUUUUUAUCCAAGAAAAAGGUGUAUCCUUUUUUAGUUUUUCUUGUAAAACUUUCUCAUCUUUAGAAGAUUCUUAAUGAAUUGCUUUACAAAAUUAAAAAAGUCAUAGAAAACUUUGAAGUUGUUUUUUUAUCUUUUAGUUUUUCUAAAAUUCAUUAAUUUUUAUUAUAAUAUGGCCUUGUAAAGUAAGACUUUCUAAAAAUAAAUUUAAGUUUAAGAACUCUAUAUUAGCUUUUUCAAGCUCUAUCUUUCUAGAUUUUAAUAUUAUAUCAUGUUUUAUAAAUUCUUGAGCUAUGAGAUUUAGGUGUUUCCUGUGCUUAUUUAAUGUUUCAAAAAAUAUAAGUAUAUCAUCAAUAUAUACUACAUAAAAAUCUUUAUAUUUUUCAAAAAUUGUAUCCAUCCAUCUUUAAAAGAUUUGUGGAGCAUUACAAAAGCAUUACAAAAUUCGAAAGGCAUAACUCUCCAUUGAUAAUGGCUUUUAUGAGCACUAAAAGCUGUUGAAAAUUUUUUAAUUUUCAGUUAACAUUAUUUGCCAAAAUUCAAAAUUUUACUAAAAUAUUUAACAUUUUUUGCUAAAUUUAUUAGUACAUCUUUUCUUGGAAUAAAAUAACCAUCAAAUAUUAAAUGUUGAUUAAGCCUGUUAUAGUUUAUUACAUUAUGGCUUUUCCUCUUUUUUGCUUAGCAUGAUUUCUUUCCAUAAAUACUGGGCUUGAAUGUGGACUAGUAGUGAGCUUUAAAUUCCAUUUUGUAAAAGCUCAUUAAUUUGUAUAUCAAAUUUGUCUAUAUUUUGUUUAGUAUAGAUAAUUGGUUUUACUCUAAUUAUUUUCUUUGAAUCAAGAAUUUUUAAACUAAGACUUCUAGACUAUAAUUUUAAUUGUUCAUCACUUAAGCUUUCUUUUAAGAUUUUAUAUAACCAGUGUGUUUCACUUAUUGUUUUAAUUUCAAUUUGCUUGGUUUCAGAUAGGAAAUCAUAGUCACAUAUAUGUUUAUGAUUUUUUACUAGUGGUAGUUUAUAGCUUUUUUAUUUAUAGGAAAUACAAUAUUAUUAGGAUUUAAACAGUAAAGUAAAUAAUUGUAUAUAAAAUUAUUUUCUAAUAACAUAUCACCAGGCAUAAAAGGAAAAUAUAAAAUUUUUGGAAUUCUGAAUUUUUUACUUUAUAUCUUAUUAUAGUUUCUUUUCCAUUAAUUCCUAUUACUGCUAUAGAAUGUUUAAUUGGCUCCUAUUUUUCCAAUGGUAAAGCAUUACUUCUACAAUCACAUAUAGUAACUUCAGUAUCUAUUAAAAAAUUUAAAAAGUAUCAUUUAUACUGUUUAAAUUUAAAUUUUGCUUCAACAUAAUUAUAAUGCCUUUUUGGUUGAUUUUUUGAAAAUGUAAUAACUUCAUCAUUACCUAUUUUUUAUUGGUUGAUUAAGCUAGACUUCGAAUAUCAUCUCUUCUAGUAUUUUCAAAAGAAAUUAAAUUUAAAACAGAGUUUACUGAAUUGUAAACAUAGUUUACAUGUCUUUGACUAAUAGUAUUGCCAAGAAAUAUAGGGAUAUUUAUAUUUUUUUUACCUGUUGAUUAAGGUUGAAAAUGAAAAGAUGGUCUGUAUGAUUGUUCACUAGCAAUACUCUCAGCAUCUUUAUUAUCUCUAUUUGAGAAUAAAGGUAUGGAAGAGGAUGACGGUAGAACUAGAUUGUUACUAGAACUACUUUCUUCAUGAUUUUUAAAAUAAAGGUUAUUUCCUCAUGCAAAAAAUUCAAUGGGUUUUAUUAUUUUAUCAGAAGAAAUAGGUUUUGUAAUUUCCUCUAAUAACCAUCCAAUUGGUACUUAUAGAUCUCUAAGAUUUAUUAGUCUUGGUUUAAUUUUUGAAUCAAAAGGUUUGGGUUCAAAUAUUUCAAUAAUAUUAGAAUUUAUUUCUUUAAGAGAUGUGAAAGUAUGAUUAGUAAAUUCAUUAAUAGCUAUCAGUUUAUAGACAGAUCAUGAGCCACAUUUCUAAUUUUUGGCUUUUUUGUCAUUAUUUUAAGUCUAAGGCAAUCUUUUAUUAAUGGGUCAUUAGUAGAAAUAAAAUAGUUUGGUUUUACUUUAAACCAAAUAGCUCCUGAUAUAAUAUUUGAUUGUAUUCCUCCUAUUAGUGCUUUAAUAGGAUUUUCAAAUCUUUUAUCUACUAAUAUUGCUAUUAUUGGUAUAUCAUUACCAACUUUGAGUAAUGCUUUUAUAGUUAUCAUAAUUAUUCCUAAAUGUAUAUAUCUCAUUUUAGGAUAUUUUUGUUUAAUUUUCCUAAUUUUUUAUCUAGUAAAUAAAAAAAUAUUUAUAGAUCUUUGAUUAGAAUCAGGAGCUAUGUUAUUUCCACUAAAAUUUUCUAUCUGUCUAUGUGUCCAUGGUUUGAACUUUGAAAAGAUAGAAAGUUUAUAUAUUUCAUCUUUCUUUAAUGAUUGCAGUUUUCUAACAAUUCAUCUAAAAUAGUAAUAUCGUGUCCAAGACAUCACUUAAUUUUGUCACUUGCUAUUCUUCAGUAGGUAUAUCUUUAGUUUCAGAACUAAGUUGAUUCUUAGCUUCUGAUAUAGAAUUACUACUAGAAUUGAUUAUGAAAAUAUACUCAUCAUCAUUUGAAUCAGAAUUUGUUUUAGAAAUUAAUUCAUAAAUAAUUUUUUCUUCAGAAAACUUCUUUUCUAAAACAAUUUUCUAAAUCUCAUUUUUCAAGAGUUUUGAUAAAUUUUUUAACAUUUUUUCCUUUGUUAGGACAUUGGGGUGCAAUAUGACAUUUUUCAUCACAAAUAAAACAUUUGCAUUUGGAUUUGUUUUUAGAAGUUUUUCUUCUCACAUAUUUAUUCUUUUUGUCAAAUUUAUGCUUUUUAGGCUCCAUUUGACCUAUUUAUAUCUUCUUUUCUUUUUGAAUUUUUUAGAAUAGGUUUUAGAUUAAGAUUUACAUUCAAAUUCGUAUUCAUUUUCUAAUAUUUUUGUGCAUUGUUUAUUACUUAAUCUACUUUUCACUUGCUUUACAAGCUUUGUCUUAAGGCAAUGUUCUAUAAUUUGUUUAGAAGCAAAAUAAACUCUAUUUCCUAUAGAAUCUAAAUAAUCUCUAUUUUCUACUAUAGGGUUAUGGGGUUCCAAAUAUUUGGGAUAUUGUUGAUUAUAGAGUUCAUCCAACGAUGAUGAUAAUUUAUGAAAAUAUUAUUCUUUCCAAAAUUUUGAAUGUAAUUCAUCCAAUUUUUGGUAUUCAUGAAAAAACUUUUUAGAAAAUUCUUUUAAUUGUCUUAUAUCACUUAAUUUUAUCUUGGUUAAUAACUAGUUUCACUGUUUUGAUCAGUUGGUUCCAUUCUUCCAUAAAAUUCAUUUUGUAAGAUUUUUUAAAAAAUUUGGUAUAGUUGUAAUGAGCUCUUUUUACUUAUGAAUUUUCCCAUUUUUGCCAAAAUUGCAAAGCAUCCCUUUGAAAUGUUCCACAAAAAUAAUUUAGAAAAAAAUUUUUAGACCAAGUGUCUUUAUUAGUUGUUUACUACAAUAGUCAUAGAUUGUGCCCAAUCUUCUAUGGUUUUUCUAUAGUCAUUUAUGGAGAUUUUUGAAAGAUCUAAAUACAUACCUCAUUGAGCUAUAUUUCUUUUAUUUAAAGAUUCUAUAAAAGUAAAUUGUGGUAUAGGUUUUGUAAUAGAUUCAGAAGAUGUUCGAAUUUUAUUUUAUUUCAUCUUUAUAAAUAUCAUAUUCUAUUCUAUUUUCAAACCUACUUUGAUCAUCUAUUUCUUGGUUAGAAACUUCUUCUACUUUUCUUUUUUCCUUAUCAACUUUUUGUUGAUCAAGAUCCAUAGGUGUAGGUCUAGUAUUGAUAUCUCCAUCUACUUUUUCAGAGGAUGAAGAUUAUGUGCUACUAUAUUAUUUUUUUAGUUCUAUGUCAGUAGUUAAGAUUUUGUCUUUGUCUUUGUCUUCUUCCUUUGAACUACUUUCAUCGGUAGUAUCAUAAUUAAACAUAUAAUAAUAAUUAAAUUUUUUAAAUGGUUCUAUAUGUGUUUCAUAAAUUUCUUCUAUCAUAUUUAAAUAAUCAAUCAUUUCUAUAGGAACAAUUGCUUUUUUCAUUUUAUACCUAAGAUAUUUUAUAAAACUUUUAUGGGAUUUUAAAUCCAAUUGUUUUGCUUUAAAAAAUUUCGUUGGUUGGGAAGAUGAUGGUUUAUCAUCUUUAAGUGUAAAAAUAGCAUUACCAUAAUAUAAUGGUCUAAAGUUAUUUGUUUGACUUUUAUCAACUUCUAAUAAUUUAAAUUUUUUAUUAAUAUUUACUAAUAACUGUUUAGAUUCUUGGUUUAAAUCUAAACUAGUAACUUGUCCUAAACUAUCUAUUUUUUAUUCUAGUAUAUCAACUUUAGUGAACAUAUUUUUAAAGAAAAUAUUAGAUAAAUCAAUUAAACUAUUUAUACUAUGACUGAUUGCUAGAAUAUGAUUUUUUAAUUGAAAAUCCACAUGUAGACUAUGAUUAUGAAGGUUUUUUGAGCAAACAUAGUUUUCAAUUUUUUGCUACAUGUUAUUGGUAUCUAAAACCGUUUGUAUACCAUACCAAGAUCUCUAAAGCUAGAUUAAAAGGCAACAACAAAGCCACAACACUAGCACAGAGAUAGUAAACAGAUAUGAGUUUUAAAACAUAAAGCUAAAAAUUAAAAAUUGAGAAAGUAAAGAAAUACUUAUAAAGAUAGCUUGAAAUUGGAAACCUCAUAUAGAAUAUAGAUAUAUCAACCUUGAUAUAUAUAAAUACAAACUAGAAAUAGUUAAGGUUCUUUGACCGUAGAUAAGAUUCUGAUACCAAUUACAAGAGAAAAGGGGAUGUGAGAAAGAGAUAUUACAAGAGAGUAUAGAAAAGAGGGAGAGAGAUGGGCUAGGUAUCCGAUCCCUCUCUAAUACAAUCUUCAAUAUUUAAGCUUAACAAAUUUUGUUCUUAUCUAAUUAUGAAGUUAGGGUUGAAGUUAGGCUUAAAGUUAGGUAGAUAUUUAUUACAAAAGAGAUAUUUAUAUAUCCUUAUUUGCUUUUGGUAGAUUUGAAAAAUACCUAUAAGUAUAAUUUAUGUGUAUGAAAUAUCUGAAUAUAACAUUGUCCAUAUAAAAAUGUGUUUUAUAACUCGACAACAUCUAUUUUAACAAUUGGUUUUAGAUUAAUUUUUGGUACAAAGAAAUGCCCAAACCUGGGGACUAAGAUAAGAGAAAUUGUACCAGACGAAUAAAACAUUGAAAUGAAGUUAUUGCUUUCUUGUUUUCAAAUUAAUUAAUAGAGCUCUUAUUAUGUAACUUCUUGUUUUAGGCAAGGAAAUGUGCCCAAAAUUGUGUUAUAUUGUUUGAAUUGCUCUUGAUCAAAAUAAUAUUAAUUAUUUGAACUUAACUGUAUAUAUAUAUAUAUAUAUAUAUUUAUUUAUUUAUUUAUGCAUGAAGAUAUAAAAAAUCAUAACUUUCAACUUUUUUAAAAUUUUCAUUUAAGAUUUUUUGUAGAUAAAUAUAUUUAACUAUUCAAUUUAAUUUAGUAAAAAAUAGGUAAAUUGAUAUAUUUUAGUAGAUUUUCUUCUAAACAAAUCUAAAUUAUUUAAAUUUAGGUGUAUAUAUAUUUCCUUUUUUAUAUAUGAAGAUAUAAAUACAAAUAUAAAGUAAAACAUUAAUUAAAAAAAAAGGGAGUCUUCUAAUGGGCUAAUUACUUGACACUCAUCAGGCAAUUAUUAAUUUUUUUUAUAAUUUUAAAUAAUUUUUUUAGAAAAAUAUUUUUUGAAAAAUAUUUUUAUUAAUUUUUUAAAUUUCUUUUGUAAUUUUGACCCAAAAACUUUUUUAUCUAGUGCUUAUUUAAAUAGUUUAGUUUUAUCUUUGUUUUUAAUUAAAAUAAAAAAUUAUUAAACAUCCAAUCAUAAGAUGACAAAUGUCCCCAAAUUGGAUGCCCUUAUGAAUAUUAGUAGAUUUGAUGACCACUUUUUUUUUUUUAUUUAGUGGUACGAGGUUGCUAGAUUCUACCAAGUACAUCACUUACUAGACUGGUUUAAAUAAGUUUAUUUAUGUUAGGCCUAGCAAAUUCAUGAGAAGGCAUCUUCUCGUAGCCUUUCAGCAGAUUCGAACGUAGGUAACAAAAAGGAAACAUACUUUUUUUACCACUUGAAUUAAUCAUAUUUUGAUAGAUUUGGAAACUACUUUAAAUAAUAAUAAUAGAUUUAUUAAAAUUUAAAAUAAAAAUUAAUUGAAGGUAAUUAUAAAGCAACAUGCAUCAUGCAAUAAAAGCUUCAAUUGAACAAUUAUUUACGGGUAUAAUUAGAGAAUAAUUUUUAUAUUAUGGUAUAGAUUUUACAAUAUGUAAAAUAACAAUUUAUGUAAAUAUUGCUCAACACUAAUGGAGUUCAAAUUUUAGAGAUUUAAGAUAGUGUUGGGUCUAGUAAUUAGUAGCUUUUACCUUUUGUGAAAAAUCAAAAAUUAAAAUUUAAAAGAUUAUCCUCUAUAUAUGGUUGAUAAUUAUGAGAUUUUCUUUUAAUAAUAAAAGUAAGGGUUUAAAAUUUAUAAAUUUUAGGUUCAAAUGGCACCACAUAUUCAUUUAAUUUAAUUCUAUAUUGGUUUUACCUAUUAAUUUAUUUUUGUACAUAGAAUGGGCAUAGUUUAUGAGGGAAGAGAGAGAAGAUCUUGGUUUGGAAAUCAAGAUUUCUACAUCUUGUUAAAACUCUUUAAUCACUAAAUCAAGAAGCUGAGGAUAAAAUAUUUUGUAAUAUAUUAUUUAAAUUCAAACAAUAUUACACACACUUUGUAAUAAUAAUGUUAAUGUUUAUGUAAUUAGAUUAUAUAUAUAUAUAUAUAGAGGGAAGGAAUAAUUUACAAAUGUAUAAAACAUUUUAGUUUAACAUUUUUUUUCUAAUUAUUAUUUUAAUAGAUCUAAAGGAUGAAAGACACAAGUACAAAAAAAAAGUUUAAUCUUAUCUCUUGAAUAUAUUAAAAUUAAUAAUUAAAAAAAUAUAUAAAAUUUUUUUUGGUGUAACUUAUUUCUUCUCUCUCUCUCUCUCUCUAUAUAUAUAUAUAUAAUUAGUGGUCUAUGCUUUAUAAAUUAUAAACCAAUAAUAAACUAGAUAUGUGGUGACAUCAUGUUUUUAACAUCUUAAACUAAAACUUUUAAAUUAAUUCCUAAGAAAAAAAAAAGGGAAUAUUUUUCAACCAUAUGCAUUUUAUGAUAAGAAAUAUAUACAUAUAUAUAUCCUUUUAACAAAAAUUCAAAAAUAUAAAAAACUUAAAAUUGUAUUUACUAGACAAUGUAAUAUACUAUAAUUAACUUUGAUACAUAUUUAGAUCUCAAUACGAAUAUAUAAUAUACUUAUAUAUUAUUAGUAAAAAAAUAAGUAUUUUUAAUAAAAAAACUUAAUAGAAUUUUUAUUAUUAAAUAUUUAUUCAUCAAAUUUAAAUUAUAAACGAUAUUUUUAACAAUUUUUUUUUACAUAUUAUUGAUCUUCUUAAUAAACUUCAUCAAUCAAUUAAUUUUUAUUUUUUAUUUUAAUUUUUAUUAAAUUAUUUCUAAUAAAAAAUUUCGCAAACAUCAUUUACAUAACUUCGCAAAAAAUUUCCCUACCUUAAUGUUACCUAGCCACCAACAUCUUCUCUUUUGUUCUUUCUUCUAAUAAAGUAACAAUAUAAAAAAGGUUUAAGGUCCACAUAAUUUAACUUUACCAUCGUUCAAGUCGCCUUUGGCCUUUUUUCUAUAUAGUCAAAAGAAACUUUCAUAAACGACAAUAGAGUUGCCUUUUUCAUUGAAGAUAUUAUUGAAGUCCAGAUCACUCAAAUCUUAUAAGAGAUUUGUUUAAGAUUUAUUAGAUAUUGUUUGAAGGACAAAUCUGACUUGCAAAAAAAUAAUUAUAAAAGAAAAAAGAUUGCAAGUUUGUAUGAUUUUAAAUAAGUAAAAUCUCUAUCAGGUUAGGUAUGAGACAAAAUGCAAGAGAAUUAUAAGGUUUUAUGAAUAGAUACCUCAAAAGACUACCAAAGAUUUACUUUUUAUAGGUGCGUAUAUUUGAAUGUUUGUGAGUAGACCAAAAUAGAUUGAGAAAGUCCACAUAGUUAUGAUGUAUGGGUGCAUAUGGAUAUGUGUUUAGUUGUGUUGAAAUGAUGUAUAUUGGUAUAUAUUUGUUUGGGUUGAGAAUACUCCAUAGGACUAGAGAAGAUUAAGAGGGUUUAUGAAUAUUAAUUGUCGAGUGGUUGAUAUAUUUUUAUGUAUGUUUAUAAUUUUCUACAACUAAUAGAUCUUGUUUCUCAUCUGUGUACGUAGGUCAGUUAGAUCAAAUCACGUUAAAUUAUUAUCUUUGUUUGUUUAAUUAAUUAUUUCAUUAUACUUCCACCGACUUGAUUGGAUUAAGGCCUUUUUGACUAACAAUAUGCACCUACUACUCCUCCAAGCCAUUUCUCAUUAAUUUCCAUUCCACGUAUGAAUUUCUUGGUGGGUUCUUAGUCAUUAAUUUGAAUAGUAACGACGAUUAGUAAUGACCCUUAUAUUUUAAUUUUCAGAUGGAUGUACUAAGUUUCCAAAAACCAUUUUAUCCAUUGCAAUUUUUUGUUUGACUUUCCAUGGCUGCCAAAGGCUUCUCUGAAGCAUCUUCCUCUGGCUUCAAAUGGAACCAUGAUGUCUUUCUAAGUUUCAGAGGCGAAGACACUCGGAAGAACUUCUCGGAUCAUCUCUACGCAGCUCUGGUGAGACAUGGAGUGGUUACCUUCAGAGAUGACGACGAACUUCCCAGGGGAAAAGACAUCUCCUCGGAGCUCCUUAAAGCAAUUGAAGAAUCAAAACUUUCUAUAGUGGUUUUCUCUAAAAACUAUGCUUCUUCCAGGUGGUGUCUUGAUGAGCUAGUCAAGAUUAUUGAGUGCAAAAACACAACAGGCCAGGUUGUUAUUCCAGUCUUCUACGAUAUUGAUCCAUCUGAUGUCCGGAAACAGAUCGGAAGUUAUGAAGAAGCUUUUGCUAAACACAAAGAACGGUUUAAAGAUAAGAUGGAAAGGAUCAAAAAGUGGAGAAAAGCCCUUACAGAAGCCGGAAAUUUAUCCGGCUGGGACCUUCGAAACAUGGCAAAUGGGUAAUAUUUAAUUUCCAAGAUGAAUCAUCCAAAAAAUUCUAAGAUAUAUAUAUAUAUAUAUUUACAUUUACAUCUUCGUUUUUAAAUAAAAAAUUAAAUGAAACUAAUUUUAAUUGCUAGUUAGUUCUAUUAAUAUUAUAAUAUGCAUCUAAUUUUAAGUUCUUGUAGUCAAUUUAUAUCUUACUAUAAAAUUUUUUUUUUUAUGUUUGAAGAUUUAAACCUUAAAAUUAAAAGCGAAAAUUCUACCCAAAUUAUAAAUACCUGAAAAAAUGUGUAAUUUAUUUCUGUUGUAAAAUUAUUUGUUUGAAGUGCAAAACGAGAAUACAUAAUAUAUAAUUAUUGGAUUAUAAUUAAUCAAUUAUAAUUUAGUAUUGUGAAGUGUCCAUCAAAAAACUAUUUAAAUCUCAUUAUAUUUUAAGUGAUGAACUCUUAAAUAAUUUUUUAUUAUAAUUGAUUAAUUGUAGUAUCGUAAUCAAGAUAAUUAUAAAAAUUAUAUAACCAAAAGUGGGUGUUUACUGAUAAUCAAAUUUACUUAUGUUUUUCUUGUGUUCUUUCAUUGCAAAUAAUUUUACAGAUAUGAAUCGAAAUUCAUCCAAGAGAUUGUCGAUGAUGUUAUCAGAAAAUUAAACCGUAAUAUUCGCAAUGGCUUGCACGUCGCCACUCACCCAGUAGCUCUAGAAUCACGUAUCAAAAGGGUGAUGAGAUUACUAGAUAUUAGAUCUGAAGAAGUUCGCGUAGUGGGCAUCUAUGGAAUGAGUGGGAUAGGUAAGACCACCAUUGCAAAAGCUGUGUACAACCUAAUGGUCUGUGAAGGAUUUGAAGGAUGCAGUUUCCUGUCAAAUAUUGAAGAUGACUCGCAGCAACCUAAUGGUCUUGCUAGGAUGCAAGAGAAGCUCCUUUCUGAUAUCUUGAAUGGGAAAAAAUUCGAGAUAGAUUAUAUUGACAGGGGUGUCAAUUUAAUCAAGGAGAGGCUUUGUUGUAGAAGAGUUUUUAUAGUUCUUGAUGACUUGGUUGUGUCAGCACAAUGGAGACCACUAGUUGGUGAUAGGAAGUGGUUCGGUCGAGGAAGUAGGAUUCUCGUCACAACCAGAGAUGAACAUUUGCUGACUGAAUUAGAGGUGGAUGAAAGAUAUAAGGUUCAACAAUUGAAUCAUAAGGAUUCAAUUCAGUUUUUAAGUUGGUAUGCAUUUAGGAGGCCUGCUUCAGAUAAAGAUUUCUUCGAACUUUCCAACAGUUUGGUGGAGCAUGUUGAAGGACUGCCGUUAGCUCUUGAAAUUUUUGGUUCUUCUUUGUUUAAAAGAAGCCUACCAGAAUGGGAAAGUUUUCUGGAAAAAUUACAGAAGGUACCUCACCAAAAAAUUCAAAAGAAGCUUAGGAUAAGCUUUGACACACUAGAUGAUGAUUUAUUGAAAGCCAUAUUUCUUGAUAUUGCAUGUUUCUAUAUUGGGAUGGAUAAAGAUUAUGUGAUGACAAUACUAGAUGGUUGUGGAUUCUUUCCAGAAAUUGGUAUGAAAGUUCUUCUUGAAAGGUCUCUUAUAGCAAUUAACCCAUUUAAUAAGCUAGAAAUGCAUAACCUACUCCGAGACAUGGGAAGAGAGAUUGUUCAUGAAGUAUCACCAUCUCACCCAGGAUAUCGCAGCAGGCUUUGGUUUCACCAGGAUGUAGUAAAUGUAUUAACGAAACACAUGGUAAAAUGUUAAAUGCAUUUCGUAAAUAAAUCUAAAAAUGUGCUAUACUUAACUAGAAUUAAUAAUAUUCUUUAUUUGUAUUUAGGGGACGGAAGCUGUGGAAGGUCUCAGCUUAGGUGUGCCAGCACUAGAAGAUGAUCUUAUAAGCACCAAAGCAUUUGCGAGGAUGAUCAACUUAAGAUUGCUGAAAAUCGAUUCUGUACAUUUCACCGGUUCCUGUGAAAAAAUUUCAAAAGAAUUAAGAUGGCUCUGUUGGCGUCGAUGUCCACUACUAAUGGUUCUACCGCCCAAUCUUUAUCUAGACAACUUGGUUGUUCUUGACAUGCAAUACAGUAGUAUCAAAAAAGUUUGGAAGGAGACAAAAGUAAUUAAAAUCACUCUCACAAUGCUAUGUUUUUUCUUUUUAUUUUGAUAUUCUAGAUCUUUUUUUCCUUAGCGCAUAUUAUGGAUUUACUGUUAUUUUCUUUUUCUUAUUUCAACAGGCUCUUCACAAGCUUAAAAUACUAGAUCUGAGCUAUUCGUACCUUGGAAAGACACCAAACUUUGCAAAACUCUCAAGCCUACGAAGACUUGAACUUGAAGGUUGCACAGGUUUAGUUGAGGUUGAUCAAUCUAUUGGACAUCUGGAAAAACUUGAAUUCUUGAAUUUGGCAGAGUGCAAGAACAUAAGUGAACUUCCAGACAGCAUUUGCAACUUAAGGUCUCUUGAGACAGUGAACCUCAAUGGUUGCUCAAAACUUUGUCGUUUGCCAGAGCAUUUGGGUAAAUUGGAAGCUUUGAGAAAGCUUGUUUUAAGUGGAUCUGCUAUUACAGAGUUGCCUACUUCGAUCGGACUUUUGAAGAACCUUGAAGAUCUAUCUUUGGCUGGACUUAGAAAAGAGUUACCUUCUAAGUCUUGGUUCUCAUACUUUUCCUCAUGGAUCUCACCAAAAAGUAGUGUGGGUUCUUCUUCUUUACUGCUACCAGCAACGUUCUCUCAGUUAAGCUCAUUAAGAAAGCUUAAUCUUUGUGACCUCAACUUGUCUGACCAUGAAAUUUCCAUUGACUUUGGGAGUUUCCAUUUUUUGUGGAGUUUGGAUUUACAAGGAAACAACUUCUGUAACCUACCCGCAGGAAUCAGCAACCAUCCAAGGUUAGAGAGACUUGUAUUGAAUAACUGCAAAAACCUUAGAUCCAUCACGGAGCUUCCUAAAAAUUUAACGGCCUUAUACGCAAAGCAAUGCACAUCAAUUGAGAGAUACCCAAACUUAUCAAACAUAGGUAGAAAACUUCUUAGAAUCGCAAUUAGUAAUUGUCGCGAAGUAGCUGACAUUCAAGGUUGGGAUUUUCGCUCAUUUCAGAAAUUGUCUUCUUCUUGGCCUAUUGGACGAGAUCUUAACCAGCCAGAGGUCUUUCUCUAUCUCUCUCUGUAUACAUAUAAUAUAUAUUAUCAUGCAUGAUAAUGUUCAUAACUACUAGUAUUUCUUUGAAACAGAAGUCGUUGUAUUCCAAGUUUAAGUAUUUGGAAGCCUACUUCCCAGCGAGAGAGCUGCCAGAUUGGUUCGACUAUAAAGAAAUUGGAUCUUCGAUACUGUUUUGUAUGCCUUCAAUCCCGAUUGGUUUAGAUCGAGGUAUGAUUGUGUGCGCAAUCUAUUCGGUCAAUGAAGAAUGCAAUGACGAAAGCACUUCUACAGCUUCUCUUACCAUAUAUUUUAAGAAUAAAACAAAGGGCUGUGAGACUUUUGAUAGGUCACAUGGUUCCCUCGAUGGGAAUAUAUUGCAAGAUCACGCGUGGGUGAGUUACAUGGCACCUAGUUUGAACGAUGAUGUAAAAUCUUUUAUCGACGAUGUAAACGCUGAAGAAGGAGAUGAAAUUGAAGUUUCAAUUGAGCCGCAUGGUGGAAUUCUUGUGAAGAAAUGUGGUAUUCAUCUGCGAAUUCAUGGGUAGAUGAGGGUAAGUUUUAAGAGCCUUCAUUGAUUUAUUUUAUUUAUUGUUGAGACCAAAUUAAUUUUAUUAGUUGUCAAUAUCAUAAUAGGGAAAUAUUUUCAGAAAUAAAUUACAUCUUAAAGAUUCAUUUGCAUGAUUAUUGAGAAAUCACUGAUUGAAUGAUUGUUUAAUUAUAUAUAUUGAAAAAAAAAGUUAGAAAUAUUGAUAUCAAAAUUAUUGUACAAAUAUUUUUAAAAUAUGAAGUCACAUUAAAAAUAAAUGUAAAAUUUAUAACAAUUGUGAGUGAAUAUGAAAAUUUUAAUUUUUUUUAGCAUCAUCUUAUUUUUAUUUUAUUUUUAAUUUAAUAUAUUUCAAUUAAACUAAUAAAAUUUCUAACUACGUUGCUAAUAACGAAUUCCUUGUAAGCCAACCACCUAGCCAAAAUCAAACUAUUCCAAUAUUGAUACAGAACAAAGAAGAUUGUUGAAGAUUUUUUUUUUUUACAGUCUAUAAAUAUGUAAUUAUGUUUAAGGUUAAAAGUAUUAUUUUAUAAGACAUCGAUAAAUUAUUAUUAUACAUGAAAUCAUGUUUCUAUUAAAAAAUCAACUACUAUUUAUUAAUUUAUCAUUUUUAAAAUGAUUAUCAAAUACAAUAUAAAUCUAAUAAAAUUAAUUUCAAAAGGCAAUAAUUAAUGCAACAAUAUAAUUUAUUCACUCCAUACCAAAUUGAAAAUAUAUAAAACCAAAAUAUCAGCUUAAUUUUUUCCACUAUUUAGAAUUAAAAAUAUAUAAUUAUAUGUUUUCAUUUAGUUAUUGAUUUUCUUGUAUUAAAUUUAGAAUUUAAAUCUUUGCAAAUGAGUAUAAAAUUUUCUUUAUAGCAUGCUUUAAGACAAUUGCAAUAUUCAUUACCAUCCAAUGUACAUUACACCUUUUAUUUGAAAUAUUCAAACUUGCCACUGACGAUCAUUGACCAUAUUAUUCCCACUAACAAUCUCUUCCAUAUAGCAAUAAUUUUGUGGUUUCUAUAGUUUCAUAUAAUAAAUUUUUUAAUUUAAAAUUUUAAGUUUUGAUUAUAAAAAUAUGAAAUAUGCAGUAAAAAAUUAAAGAAUUUUAAAAUAUUGCUUGUAAAAAAGUAAAAAAAUUAUAAAAAAAAAGUUGAUUUUAAGUGAAAUAAAUUUCAAUUAUUUAGACUCAAAUAUUAUUUAAUUUUAUUUAAAUAUUAUUAUUAAAUGAGAUAUGAUAAUAUAUAUAUAUAUAUCUUUACUUAAACUUUCUUAGGUAACUACAUGUUGGUCUACCAUAUUUAUUUUCCUCAUUUUAUAUUGAAUUUUUAUAUUUUUAUAUUAAAUUUACUAAUUAUAUUAUAAUUGCAUUUUCAUAUAUAUAUAAUUGCAUAAAUUAAUUUAAAUAAUAUCCAAAUUCAAAAAAAUCCACGAUGCAAAAAUAAUUUUAAUUUUUUCCUACGGACGCAAAGCCCGUUGAUACGGCCCAAUUUGACGCAACUUGACGCUUCUUCCAUUGACUCCCUUUCCAAAAACCUUUUCUCUACUAAACGAUAAAGCACCUUUCAAAAUGGAGACAACCGCACCAUCCACAACCGGAGGCGGUGGCGGCGGAGGAAGGCCUGCACCUUUCCUCCUAAAGACAUACGACAUGGUAGAGGACUCAUUGACCGACGAGAUCGUGUCAUGGAGCUCCAGCAAAAACAGCUUCGUCGUUUGGAACCCUCCUGAAUUUGCCCGCCUUUUGUUUCCUACCUAUUUCAAGCACAAUAACUUCUCCAGCUUCGUCAGGCAGCUUAAUACCUAUGUGGGUUUCUCUUCUUUUUGCUUUUUUUAAAGGAUUUCCUUUCAGGGUUCUUUUAUUCAUUUAACUUGAUUGAAUUCUUUGAUAAUUAUGGGAAAUUAUGGGUUUUUAUUUACCGUUUAACUGCAUUUCUUCAUGGGUUUUAAUUUGUAACUGUAACAAUUUUGAUUUAAAGCUGAUUAUGAUAUCUUGGCCUGGAGCCGGCACAAAAAUUUAAGGUCGACCAAUGUCUUCUGUUGUCAUUUAUAAGGUGAUUUCUAUGAGGGGUGGGUCGUUUUCUUGGUCAAUGAACUAUGGAGGUGAAUCAACCUUGUACAGAAACAUGGGGGUUGUAAUUAGUCUUUUCUAAUUUGGAUUUAGGAAUCUUCUGCGUAAUUGUUUCAGAUUUUCAUUUUUCUUUAUUGUGCAUUUCUUCUAUGAAUAACAGAAACUUUUGAUCUUUUCUGGUGAAGAGAAUUGAUUCUUCAUUGAAUCGGAGCUUAGCUCAGUUGGUUCAUGCAGCUACUUUAUGAGUUGGCAUCCGGUAGGUCUAGGAUUCAAAUCCCAAUAUCGCAACCAUUUCCCCUAUCUCUAGGUUUUGGCCUCUUUGUAUAAAAAAAUUUGAUCCGUCACUAAGGUAUCACUUGCAUGUUUAUCUUCGAUUCAUAGGCUGUUCAUAUGAAUGUUACCAGUAGCUUUCUAUUACCUUUAGUUUGAUUAGGUUAGAUAUAUGAGGAUUGGAGUGGUUAAGCAUGAUCUGAGUGCAUACGAAUGUAAUUUGGCAACAGGGGUUCCCCGUAGAAAACCUAUAUACAGCCACAGUAAUCCUCAUGGUUCUAUGAUAGAUCCGGAAAGAGCUGGAUUUGAAGAAGAAAUAGAAAAGCUUUCAAGUGCACUUGAGGCUAAUGUUUUGAGGUUUAGACAAGAGCAAUCAGCUGCAAAGCAUCAAUUGGAAGAACUGACACUGUGAGCUGAUCAAAUGGAGCGGAGGCAGGACACUUUGUUUGAUUUCUUACAAAAGGCUGUUCCAGACCCUACUUUUGUUGAACAUCUUGUUCAUAAGAUUGAAUCUAUGGAUGUUGCAGCAUACAAUAAGAAAAGACGAUUGCCUUAUAUUGAUCAAACCAAGCCAGUUGGAGAAAAUAGUCUUUUGGAGAACAACAGUAGUUCUGGACCUCAGAUAGGAAAUAUUUUCCACCAAAGUUUCUCAAACAAGCUAAGACUAGAAUUGUCACCUGCUGUUUCAGAUAUUAACUUGGUUUCUAAUGGCACACAAAGUUCUAAUGAAGAUAGAGCAAGUCCACAGAGAAGGGUCUCUGAAGGAGAACCAAAGGAUGCUCAGACCAGAUCAGAGGGCCUUUUAUUCACACCUGAAACGUUAGACCUUUCAGAUACGGGUGCAUCUUUUACAUUCAAAAUGGAUUCAUCUUUCACUCAAAGAGAAAAAUUAAUGAAAUCCCAACAGUACAUUCCCUGCAACAGAGAUUAAAUUCCAAUGAAGAACCUGAUAGUCCUAUUUCCUGUCAAUUAAAUCUAACUCUGGCAUCUUCAUUACAAGUCAAUAGAAGUCCUAGCUUAACUAUGAUGUCCCAACUACGUCGGUAAAUUGGAAAAGUCCCAGAGUUAGGAUUUGAUGCCAACACUAAAGACUCUGAUACUAGAGCUUCUGGGAACACCAGAAACAUGAUUGAUGAGGAAGCAACAUUUUCUUCACCAAAAGAAGGCCCUAAUACAAAUCAAGAGCCUACGGCUGCUCCAGUUAGGGCGAAUGAUGUAUUUUGGGAACAGUUCCUUACAGAAAGACCAGGCUCCUCUGACAAUGAAGAGGCCAGUUCUAAUUAUCAAGCAAACCCAUACAAAGAGCAAGAAGACAGAAGAGCAACAGGCACUUGUCUUGAGAAACUGAAGUAACCUGCUUUUCUUUUUCCUGUAACAAAACUGAAGUCUCUUCCUACUGUUGCAUUUCAUUUCUUAAUUUUCCUAAGUUUUCAGUAACUAGAACUUUCAUUUUUGGCAAAUUGAAGUAGAAUUGAUGUGUCUGUCUUGAGAUGUUCGUCUGACAUUUCAUCUCAUACAUUUUGUAGGUUGUUUGUUGUUACAUCAGUCUUGAGAUAUCAUAGUUUCCCUUUCGACCAAUUGAUUUGUAGAUUAUUCAUUAGUUGGUGCAGUGAACAUUAUGCAUGAUACAAGAUCUUAAAUCUUUUGAGAAAGUAGGAUUCAUCUGAAAAUUACAUUAGCAUAAUACAGUGAUAAUGUGAUAGGUAAAAUAAAAAAUUGGAAAACUAACUUUGCUUAUGUGGUUGUUAGAGUUAGAGUAAAAGGGUCAACUGAGUGUUACAUUCAAGCAUUACUUCAUCUACCUUCAGGCUUUCUGGAGAAUAUGAAUACAUAGAGUUAGUUAUUGUGAAAUGAUUAGACAACCCAAGUGCACAGAUAUGCUUUUGUUCUUCCAUGGCAUUGGAAAAAUAUUCAACUUAGGCAACAAAUGCUGCUCUGGUAAACAACCACCAAAAGGAAAUUUUAAUUUCCCUAUGGUUUUAUUGUUAAUCUUCCAUGCUUUUAUUGGAAAGGGUUGUAGCUUCCAAUCCAACUUGGACUAAAAAUGAUGUUUGUGGCUACUGAGAUGUUUCAAAAGGAAGAAAGCAGGCUGCAACAAGUAGGUUACCAUUGGGAUAUAUCAAGUGCUGCAUGGAUAGCCGCCCAGUUGUUGCAUAGCUCCAACAAGCCUAAUUGCCAGCUCCUAGUCUUGUUAAUUUCCACUUUUAUCAUGUGUUCAAAUUAGAGCCGAUAAAUUUGACUUGAACUUGAAAAUUCCAUUGGAAUCCAAUCCUGAUCUAAUCUGAGUUGAUGAGGAAAAAAAAUAACAUUUGAGCUCAUUCAGGGAAAUUUUUUAAAUAUAGUGAAGUUCAAGAAUUAUUUUAUUAAAAUUGAUUUAGUAAAAAAUUUAAAUCGAUAAAUUAAUAUUCAAAAAAACCCUUAAUACUAUAUAAAAGAAUUUAUUAAAAAUAUUAUUUAUAAUUAAAAUUUGAUCAUAGAUUAUUUAAUGAUAAAAAUUAGUCAAAAUUUUCAUUAAAAAUACUUAUCUAAAAAAUAUAUAAAUUUUUUUUUCAAAAUUUGCAUGCUUGAUUUGUAUAAUAAAAUAUUUUAAUUUAUUAUAUUUGAUUUUCAAUUUUAAUUAUUAUUUAAUUGAUUUUAAUAAAAAAUUUUAUAAAUUUCAUUUAAAAAACAUAAUGUAAGUUUUUCUCAAUUCAUUUAGCCCAAACAUGAAUGAUUUAAAAGAACUCAAAAUUUAAAUUGAUCUAACCUAAUUUGAUAUAAUCUCAUUCAAUCUAAACUUAAAUUAUUCGAAACAAACUGAACUUAAAAUUGAUAUAAUCCAAAGUCAAAAUUAUCAAAACUUAUAAAGACAUGAAUUUCUUUGAUCAUAAAGUGACCUAACCCAACCCGUCAAAUUUCUAACAACUUAAAGUUAACAUUACAUUUACAACUCAGCUUGAAUAUAAGUCAAACCAACUGGAGUCUCCCACUAGUUUAUAAGCAAUUAUUAAGUGUUUUCUUCUGUUCGGUUAUUUGUCUAGUGAAAGACUACAGUUUAGAGUGGGAAAAGGAAAGAUUUUAUUACAGUUUCCAUGAAAAAUUGUGAGGAAAAUCAAUUAUGACAUAAUAAGCCCUAGUAAUACUAAAAUCCUUGGCAAGCAAGAAAGCCAUUACUCUAUUUGCUGACAGUAAAACAAAUAACAGUCUAGAAAACCAGUUUACAGCUAUGAAGAAGAUACGGACAAACAAUACGAGUAUAAGAUGAUAUGAACACAAUUAUAUAGUAAUUUUUUAAAAAUAAAGAUAUAGAUAUAUUAAGGUACGGUAAUAAAUUUUUUUAUAUAUAUUAUAAUCAUUAAUUAAAAAUAUAUAAUAGAUUUUGAGCUAAUUUUCAAAAGGUAAUUACUUUUGCAUAAAAAAAGGAUGGUAGACACAAAAAUAAAAGAAAAUAAAGUGUAAAUACCUACACAUGGAUUAUUUAUUUAUUUAUUUAUUUUCUUUAUCUGGCCAAGUUUAAUGCUAUUUCAGUGUAUCAAAAACGUCGAAGUAUUUAACACAGAUUCGAUAAGGAUGUGGAAGGGGUCACAGGUUUACCAAUUAUCAAUAUUUUAACAUUGAUGGAAUGUCAACUAGUACUAUUGGAACUUGAGAUUUUCCUAAGUAAUCCAUAACACUCUUAAAUCAAUUUUAGUUACAGAAGACAUGUGUUCAAUUUUAGAAGUCUCAAAUGGGUUAGAUAGUUCAUGAUAUGAUAUAAUUUGGUACCGUAUUGAUCGUACUUGACAUAAUUUAUUGUGGGUCAUGUCAAGCACAAUUCAUAUACAUGUAUUGUAUUCAGCUAGAGAUUUAGGUUCAUUAGUUGACACAACAUGACUCAUUAGGGGUUAGUGUCAGCAUAUGACAUAGGGAUUGGUACAGUAUGAUACACAAUAAUUAGUAUGUCGUGUUGCACAGAUUCAUAAAUAUUAUGAAUGAGUUUAAUAUAUUAAUCCUUACUUGUAUUUUAUUUUAUUCUUAUCAUACGAUAGACGUUCUUUUAUCCAAUACUCUACAUUAACAAUUUAUAAAAAUUAAAUUGUAUCAAUAAAUUUCCUUAUAAAAUUUUAAACUAUUAAUAGAUAAAAAUUAUCAGUUUUUCAUUUUGAAUUAUCAUUUUCUAAAAACAUGAACUAUAAAAUGCAUAUUAUUUAAAAAUUGAUUAUAAAAAAACAAAAAAUAAUUAAAAAAAACACAUAAUAUAAAUGAACCAUCAUAUGGUGAAAAUGAAAAAUAAAAUAAUAAUAUGAUAUCCAUUUUUUAAUUUAAAGAAGUAAUAUUAAUAUUUGUUAAUUUUAACAUAUUUGAUGAUUUUUUUUACCUUUUAUUGGUAAACAUAGAUAUUUUAUCGAAUCAUAUGAAUUAUAUGCCUCAUGUAUUAAUUUCAUAUAUUAAUUUUUAAAGAUAAUUUGAAAAAAAAAAAAAAAUCCUCAAAAAAUGAUACAAAAAUUAAGAAACUAUUAAUAGAUCGUACUUGACCGAUAUGACACGAAAAAUAGUGUCAUGUUAUAUCAGCUUGACCCAUAAAGGCUAAAAAUCAUAUGUCGUGUUGGACCAUACUCUUAAUUUUCAUGAGCCAUGUUAACUUGGCACGUUAAAUAAUAGUGUUGGCUAACACAACCCAUUUAUACACACGGGCUAUUUUUUUAAUGGAUUGUGCUAGCCCAACACAACUCAUUUGAUACCUCUAUUUAGUGUAAAUUCAAGUGCCACAAUUAAUCAAAUAUGCCUUAACUUGCAAAUUAAGAUUUAUGGAACUCAAAUCAAAGAAUGUCAACUAGGAAGUAUUGGUGGGAUAUUGACACAAAUCCUAAAGGAUUUGGUAAGAGAAAUUUUUUAAAUUAAUUAGAUAUGACUUAGCUAAGAAGAAGACUUAUAAUAGAAGAAUUUUAUAAGGAAAGAAACUUUUGGUAGGUAAAUUAGUAGCCUUAUAAAUAAUAGGAAUCUCAGUAAAAUUAGGUAUAAAAUAAAGAUGUAUGAGAAUUAUAAGAUUUUAUCGAGAGAGAAACAUAUAAGAUUAAAAGAGAUUAAGAGGAUACUUAUAAGUGUGUAUAUUUGAAUAUUGAAUGUGUGAUAUUCCAAAAGGCUAGAUGAAAAAAAGAGGAUCCAUGAGCAUGAUGAUUGUUAUGUUUGUGAAUAAAUUAGAUGAGAAUGAGAGAAUCCGCAUAAAUAUGUAUGUGUUUUAUUUGGGAUAGUUAGAGAUUAAUUUGGAAGUAUUAAAUAUCAAUUUGGGAUGUUUAAAGAUUGGCUUGGGAUUGAGAUUGUAUGAUUAUAAUUUUUUAUAACUAAUGAAUUUUCAUUCCGCCUAUGAAUUUCUUGGAUCAGACAAAAUGAUUUAAUGAACCUUUUUUUUGUUCGGUUCCUAGUCAUAGUAACAGCCCCCCCAAAAAAUAUAUUAAUAUGAAUACUAACGAUUAGUAACGAUCCUUACAGUGUAAUAUCAGAUGAAUGUACUAAGUUUCCAAAAACCAUUUUCUCCAUUGCAUAUUUUUGUUUCACUUUCCAUGGCUGCCAAAGGUUUCUCUUAAGCAUCUUCUUCAAUUUUUUUUAUUUCUUUUUUAAAGCAAAUUCUAAUAAAAAAAAUAGGCAAAUGAAAAUUGUCUAUCAAUGAUAUCUGUAAUUUAUAAAGUAAUAUAAAUUAAUUUGAAUUUAAGUUUAUUUAUUUUCUUAUUUAUGUAUGAAGAUAUAAAUAUAUAUAAAGUACAAUAUUAAUUAAAAAAAGAAAAGUAGUCUUUUAAAGAGCUAAUUAUUUGACACUCACCAAGCAAUUAUUAAUAUUAUAAUUUUUUCAAUUUUUUUAUAAAAUAUUUUUCAAAAAGUAUUUAUAUCAAUUUUUUAAAAAUUUUUUGGUAAUUUUUUACCCGAAAACUUUUUUUUUAUCUAGAAGCUUAUUUAAAUAGUUUAGUUUUACCUUUAUUUUUAGUUAGUAUAAAAAAAAUUAUUAAACAUCCAAUCAUAAGAUGACAAAUGUCAUCCAAUUGGAUACUUUAUGAAUAGUUAUAAAUUUAGAGACUACUUUUUUUUUAGAGGCACGAGGUUCUUGGAUUUUACCAAGUACAUCUUUCUCUAGAUCGAUUUUAAAUAGGUUUAUUUAUGUUGGGUCUAAUAAAUUUAUGAGAAUUUAUCUUUCCAUAGCCUUUUAAUGGAUUUGAACUUAGGUAACAAAGAGAAAACACACUUUGUUUGCCAUUUAAAUUGGCCAUUUGUUAAUAGAAUUGGGAACUACUUUAAAUAAUAAUAAUAGAUUUAUUAAAUUUUAAAAUAAAAUUUAAUUGAAGGGUAAUUAUAAAGUAACAAGUGUCAUACAAUGGAAACUUCAAUUGAACAAUUAUUUACUGUUUUAAUUAGGGGAUAACUUUUACAUUAUGAUAUAGAUUUUAGAAUAUAUAAAAUAACAAUAUUUGUAAAUAUUGCUCAACACUAAAUGGAGUUCAAAUUUUUGAAAUUUAAGAUAGUGUCGAGUCUUGUAAUUAGUAACUUUUACACUUUAUGGAAAAUCAAAUAUUAAAAUUUAAAAGAUUAUCUCUAUAUGUGGUUGACAAUGAUAAGCUCUUGUUUUAAUAAUAAAAGUCAGGUUUUAAAAUUUAUAAAUUUAAGUUCAAAUCGUACCACAUAUUCAUUUAAUUUUAUUUCAUAUUGGUUUUGCUUAUUAAUUUAUUUUUUAUAUAGAAUAGUCAUAAUUAUAGAGGAAGAGUUCGAAAUCAAGAUUUCUAAGUUAUUCCAAAAAUUCUUUAAUCACUAAAUUAAGAAAUUCUUUAAUCACUAAAUUAAGAAGUUAAGGAUAAAAUAUUAUAUAAUAUAUUAUUUAAAUUCAAACAAAAUAUUACACAUACUUUGUAAUAAUAAUGUUAAUGUUUAUGUAAUCAGAUAAUAUAUAUAAGGGAGGAAUCAACUUACACUAGUGAUUUUUAUAUUACACAAAAUAUUAUACAUACUUUUUUUUAAUAAUUGAUUUCUAUAGAUCUAAGGGAUGAGAGACAUAAGUGCAAAAAAAGUUUAAUCUCAUCCCUUAAAUAUAUUUAUUGAAAUCAAUAGUCAAAAAAAUAUAUAAAUUUUUUUUGGUGUAACUUAGUUCUUCUCCAUGUAUAUAUAUAAAUAUAAAUAAAUAAAUAUAUGUAUAAUUGGUGGUCUACGCUUUAUAAAUGCUAAACCAACAAUAACAUAGAUAUGUAGUGAUAUCACGAUUUUAACAUCUUAAACAAAAACUUUUAAAUUAAUUGAAUAUUUUUCGUAAGAAAAAAAAAAGAAUAUUUUUCAACCUUAUGCAUUUUAAGAUAAGAAAUACAUUACAUACAUACAUAUAUAUAUAUAUAUAUAUAUAUCCUUUUAACAAAAAUUCAAAAAUAUAAAAAACUUAAAUUUGUAUUUACCAGACCUUGUAAUAGACUAUAAUUCAUUGAUACAUAAAUAGAUCCCGAUACAUAUAUAUAAUAUAAUUAUAUAUUAUUAGUAAAAAACUUAUAUAUUAUUAGUAAUAUAUAGGUAUUUUUAGUAAAAAAAACUUAAUAAAUUUUUUACUGUUAAAUAAGUAUUUAUCAAAUUUGAAUUAUAAAUAAUAUUUUUAAUAUUAUUGAUCUUCUUAAUGAAAUUUAAUUGUCAUUCGAUUUUUAUUUUUUAUUUUCAAUUUUAUUAAAUUAUUUUUAAUAAAAAAUUUCACAAAUUUCACUUAAAAACUUCACUAAAAAUUUUCAUAGCUUAAUAUUUCCUGCCACCAACAUCUUCUCCUUUGUUAUUUCUUCUAACAAAGUAACAAUACAAAAAACGUUUAAGGUCCACAUAAUUUAACUUUACCAUUGUCCAACUAAUAGUAUUUAAGGCUUUUUUCUAUGUAGUCAAAAGAAACUUUCAUAAAGGAGAAUAGAGUUGCCUUUAUCAUUGAAAUAAUAUUGAAGUCCACAUCACUAUGCACCCACUCCUCCUUCAAGUCAUUUCACAUUAAUUUCCAUUCCGAGUAUGAAUUUCUUGGUGGGUUCCUAGUCAUUAAUUUGAAUAGUCACGAUUAGUAAUGACCUUAUAUUUUAAUUUUCAGAUGGAUGCACUAAGUUUCCAAAAACCAUUUUCUCCAUUGCAAUUUUUUGUUUGACUUUCCAUGGCUGCCAAAGGUUUCUCUGAAGCAUCUUCUUCUGGCUUCAAAUGGAACCAUGAUGUCUUUCUAAGUUUCAGAGGCGAAGACACUCGGAAGAACUUCACGGAUCAUCUCUACGCAGCUCUGGUGAGAGAUGGAGUGGUUACCUUCAGAGAUGACGAUGAACUUCCCAGGGGAAAAGGCAUCUCCUCGGAGCUCCUCAAAGCAAUCGAAGAAUCAAAACUUUCUAUUGUGGUUUUCUCUAAAAACUAUGCUUCUUCCAGGUGGUGUCUUGAUGAGCUUGUCAAGAUUAUUGAGUGCAAAAACACAACAGGCCAGGUUGUUAUUCCAGUCUUCUACGAUGUUGAUCCAUCUGAUGUCCGGCAACAGAUCGGAAGUUAUGAAGAAGCUUUUGCUAAACAUGAAGAACGGUUUAAAGAUAAGAUGGAAAGGAUUAAAAAGUGGAGAGAAGCUCUUAUAGAAGCUGGAAAUUUAUCGGGUUGGAACCUUCGAAACAUGGCAAACGGGUAAUAUUCAAUUUUAAAGACGAAUCAUCCAAAAAAUUCUAAGAUAUAUAUAUAUAUAUAUAUAUAUAUAUACAUCUUCGUUUUUAAAUAAAAAAUUAAAUGAAACUAAUAUUAAUUGCUAGUUAGUGCUAUUAAAAUUAUUAUAUGCGCCUAAUUUUAAAUUAUUGUAGUCAAUUUAUAUCUAAGUGUAAAUUGAUUUUUUAUGUUUGAUGAUUUAAACCUUAAAAUUAAGAGUGGAAAUUCUACCCAAAAAAAAAAUGUCUAAUUUAUUUUUGUUGUAAAGUUGUUUGUUUCAAGUGUAUCAUGAGAAAAUAUUAUAUAUAUAAUUAUUGUAAUAUAAUUAAUCAAUUAUAAUUUAGUAUUAUGAAGUGUCCAUCAAAAAAUUAUUUAAACCUCAUUUUAUAUUUAAGUGAUGAACUCUUAAAUAAUUUUUUAUUAUAAUUGAUUAAUUGUAGUAUUGUAAUCAAGAGAAUUAUAAAAAUUAAAUAAGCAAAAGUGGGUGUUUACUUAGAAUCAAAAUUUCUUAUGUUUUUCUUGUUUCUUUCAUUACAAAUGAUUUCAUAGGUAUGAAUCGAGAUUUAUUCAAGAGGUUGUCAAAGAUGUUAUCAAAAAAUUAAAUCGCAAUAUUCGCAAUCGCUUGCACGUCACCACUCACCCGGUAGCUUUAGAAUCACGUGUUGAAAGGGUGAUGAAAUUAUUAAAUAUUGGAUCUGAAGAAGUUCGCGUAGUGGGCAUCUAUGGAAUGAGCGGAUAGGUAAGACCACCAUCGCUAAAGCUGUCUACAACAUGGUUUGCGAAGGAUUUGAAGGAUGCAGUUUCCUUUUAAAUAUUAAAGAUGACUCGCAGCAGCCUAAUGGUCUUGCUAGGAUGCAAGAGCAGCUCCUUUCUGAUAUCUUGAAUGGGAAAAAAUUCAGGAUAGAUAAUAUUGACAGGGGUGUCAAUUUAAUCAAGGAAAGGUUUUGUUGUCGAAGAGUUUUUAUAGUUCUUGAUGACUUGGAUGAGUCAGCACAAUGGAGACCAUUAGUUGGUCAUCGGAAGUGGUUCGGUCGAGGAAGUAGGAUUCUCGUCUCAACUAGAGAUGAACAUUUGCUGACUGAAUUAGAGGUGGAUGAAAGAUACAAGGUUGAACAAUUGUAUCAUAACGAAUCAAUUCAACUUUUAAGUUGGUUUGCAUUUAGGAGGCCUGCUCCAGAAAAAGAUUACUUCGAACUUUCCAACAGUUUGGUGGAGUAUGCUCAAGGACUUCCCUUAGCUCUUGAAAUUUGGGGUUCUUAUUUGUUUAAAAGAAGCAUACCAGAAUGGGAAAGUUUUGUGGAAAAAUUACAGAAGGUAGCUCACCAACAAAUUCAAAAGAAGCUUAGGAUAAGCUUUGACAGGCUAGAUGAUCAUUUAUUGAAAGCCAUGUUUCUUGAUAUUGCAUGUUUCUAUAUCGGGAUGGAUAAAGAUUAUGUGAUGACAAUGCUAGAUGGUUGUGGAUUCUUUCCAAAAAUUGGUAUGAAAGUUCUUCUUGAAAGGUCUCUCAUAGCAAUUGACCCAUAUAAUCAUAAGCUACAAAUGCAUAACCUACUCCGGGAUAUGGGAAGAGAGAUUGUUUAUGAAGUAUCACCAUUUCACCCAGGAUAUCGUAGCAGGCUUUGGUUUCACCAAGAUGUGGUAGAUGUAUUAACUAAACACAUGGUAAAAAGUUAAAUGCAUUUCGUAAAUAGAUCUAAAAAUGUACUAGAAUUCAUACCAAUACUAGAAUUCAUAAUAUACUUUAUUUCUAUUUAGGGGAUGGAACCGGUGGAAGGUCUCAGCUUAGAUGUACCAACACUAGAAGAUGAUAUUAUAAGCACUGAAGCAUUUGCAAAGAUGAUCAACUUAAGAUUGCUGAAAAUUGAUUCUGUACAUUUCACUGGUUCCUAUGAAAAAAUUUCAAAAGAAUUAAGAUGGCUCUGUUGGUGUAGAUGUCCACUAAUGGUUUUACCGCCCAAUCUUUAUCUAGACAACGUGGUUGUUCUUGACAUGCAAUACAGUAGUAUCAAAAAAGUUUGGAAGGAGACAAAAGUAAUUAAAAUCACUCUCACACUGCUAUGUUUUUUCUUUUUAUUUUGAUAUUCUAGAUCUUUUUUUCCUUAGCGCAUAUUAUGGAUUUACUGUUAUUUUCUUUUUCUUAUUUCAACAGGCUCUUCACAGGCUUAAAAUACUAGAUCUGAGCUAUUCGGUAUACCUUGGAGAGACACCAAACUUUGCAAAACUCUCAAGCCUACAAAGACUUGAACUUGAAGGUUUAGUUGAAGUUGAUCAGUCUAUUGGACAUCUGGAAAAACUUGAAUUCUUGAAUUUGGCAAAGUGCAAGAACAUAAGUGAACUUCCAGACAGCAUUUGCAACUUAAGGUCUCUGGAGACUAUGAACCUCAAUGGCUGCUCAAAACUUUGUAGUUUGCCAGAGCAUUUGGGUAAAUUGGAAGCUUUGAGAAAGCUUGUUUUAAGUGGAUCUGCUAUUACAGAGUUGCCUUCUUCGAUCGGACUUUUGAAGAACCUUGAAGAUCUAUCUUUGGCUGGACUUAGAAAAGAGUUACCUUCUAAGUCUUGGUUCUCAUACUUUUCCUCAUGGAUCUCACCAAAACGUAGUGUGGGUUCUUCUUCUUUACUGCUACCAGCAACGUUCUCUCAGUUAAGCUCAUUAAGAGAGCUUAAUCUUGGUGGCCUCAACUUGUCUGACCAUGAAAUUUCCAUUGACUUUGGGAGUUUCCAUUUUUUGCGGAGAUUGGAUUUACGGGGAAACAACUUCUGUAACGUACCCGCAGGAAUCAGCAACCAUCCAUGGUUAGACAGACUUAUAUUGAAUAACUGCAAAAACCUUCGAUCCAUUACAGAGCUUCCUAAAAAUUUAAAGGAAUUAUACGCAGAGCAAUGCACAUCAAUUGAGAGAUACC
rnacentral:lncRNA from 1 species